rnacentral:lncRNA from 1 species
CAAUAUUCUCCAGAAUAUUUUUUACAAUUUCUCCAAGAGAAAGAAAUGCCUAUUUUAUGGAAGAAUUACUAAUUUGAUAAAUUUCUAUAGAUUCCUUUGUAAUGAGAAAUGGUUCCAAGAUGGCCAUUUGUUUGUGGGAGUUACGAGUAGUUAAUUGUCAUACAUUAAGAUUUUGUUACAUUUCUCACUGAAUUGCUUUGUAUGAUUGUAACCUUUUGAAAAAAGCCAAGCAAGUUAUUUUAUUUAUAUCUUCUAAUUUGUGUUAUUCUUGUAAACAAUAUGAUUUACUGUAUAUAAUUUCAGCAAUGUCAUGCUCCAGGCAUUACUUCUGCUUUUCUAAAGCCAUUGAUGUAUUUAUUUUACCAUAAAUUCAUUUUAUAAAUAAAUAAUUGACUGGGGGAGAAAGGAAAAUAUUUAUUUACACUCCUUUCUCUAUAGGAGCAAAACCUCAGGUUUAUACAGAGGUAAAUUAACAUGAGUUUGUGUAACUUCAUGCAAUUCCCAAGAAUAUUUAGGAAAAUAAAGAAUCAAUGAAAUCUCAGUUGCAAACUUAUUUUAUUGAUAACUUUCUUGUGCACCAUUUCAAAAUAGUCAUAUACUAAACUAGCAGUAUCGCUUGGGUUUGUUUUGACCCUUUAGAAUUGGAAUUUUUGAAAAGUAAAAAUUUUGCAUUAUGUAGCUUGUUAUUCUCUUUAAGUGAACAUUUUUCUGGUUGAAAUACACCAUAAAAUGGCGACACAGCAGUUAAAAAUUUGUAAAAAAUAGGGAUUUUCAUAGAAAAAAAGCACCUUUUUGAUGUAAAUAAUUUUUGGUGUUAACAUGGUCUGAUUUGAAUUAUUUCUCCUACAGAAGGAAGAGCAAGCCUUCUUCUAUCAUACUCUCAAUUUUAGUCAACUUGUGCCGCAGGGUCUUGGAGGAGAUAGUGUUAGUUGAAGGCUACCAAUCCUGCCAUACACAGACAACUUCAGCUUUACAUAUAUAUAUAUAUAUAUAUUUUGUGGCAAAUAUUCUACAUUUGAAAGUUUUCCAUUGUUUUUUUUCUUUUUCAUUCUGUUUCAGUUGUCAGUUUCAACAUACUGUUAUAUAUAUAUAUAUAUAUAUAUAUAUAUAUAUAUAUAUAUAUCACAUCACACACACACACACACUGUUAUGCUGUACAAAUAUAUGCUGACAUAGUUUUUUAUUUGUUUAAUCCAUCUACCAAAUUUCCCCACAUGACAUUGUGAGGAAAUUUGGUAGAAAAAAAAGAAACUGAAAGAAACACUGUGCAUGCAUGUGUGUAUGUGUGUGUAUGUAAUUUUUGUAUAUGUUUAUUGGCUGUUGCUGACUUACAGCCACAACCGGUAACAUUUGUUGACAUUUCUUAUCAGCAAAUCAUCCACUAAGUUCUUUUGAAUUUCUCUGGAAUAAAAUCUUCCUUACCUGUAAAACAGAUACAGAUUGAUGACAAGAGCUUCUGGCCAUAGAAAUCCUAUCCUUCCUGAAAUGCUACCCCUUCCCAUAGUGUUGGAAUAUAAAUGAAUGAUAAAAUUACAUUAAAUUUUAUAUAGUGUCAUAUAUAGGAUAGCUUUCACAAAUGAUAGUCAUUGCAAGAGAGAACAAAAGUUUGUUCAUGUUUAUACUCUGAAAGGUUUUAAUCCUGCAAUGACUGUGUUUUACAUUAAAUAAUUUAAUUGAUAGAAAAGUGUGUGUUGGUGCUGAACAGACAGGAUUUUGGACAUUUAGUUUAAAAAUUAUGGGUUUGUAACUCCUCUCAGGUGUAGUACUGUACAGUGUAUGGGCUAAGUACUGAACAUUUCCUGCAUUAUUAUUUAUUGUUUGUUUGUGUGUGAGAGAGAGACUAAUCAGUAACUGGUAAUUUUGUAGCUUACAAUGCUGGCACUCCAAUCCUUUCACACAAAAGAGAAAGGUAACAAACAAAAUUAGUUUACAUCUGAAAUUUGUGUGAACUGUAAAGCUACAAGAUGAGAAUACUCUGCAAAAUAUUUAGUAAAACAUUCCAUAAUUUUGUAAGCAAAAUUAACCAAGCAGGUUAGCUGCAAGCAUCGACAAGCACAUGGGCUCACAUGCAUGCACACACGCAUGUGCGCGCACACACACACACAUGAAUAGAUAUAUGCAUACACCUUAUCAAUGCCAGUUUAUUGUGUGUAUAUUAUUGUGUAUAUAUUUUUUACUGUGUGUAUAUUUUUUAGAUCUUUAAACAAUCUUAAAAGGAGACAGGCCUCAAAGACUUUCAAUUUGAGUUUAUAUUUGUUCUAAACAUCUCUGUGUAACAUUUAAUUCCAAAUCCCAAAACAAACAAACCAACCAUAUUUCCACUUUAUUUUUUAUUUUCAUUUAAAAUUUUUUCCUCUGCUCAUUAGCAUUUUUGAAUAUAUUUUCUUUAAUUAUUAUUAUUAUUAUUAUGAAAUAUAAGUUUGAUUUUGUUCCAAUGUACACAUCUUUUUCCUCUUUGUUCAUAUGCUAAAUAGUAAAACAUAAGGUUAUAAACAGUUGUAUUAUGUGAUAACAAACCAGGUUGUUUGUUCAAGUAAGCUAAUCAUAGAAUUAGUUUCUGUAUUCUACAUACUUGCACUUUAUAAUUCUCAAAGCCUCCUUUCACUUAUGUUUUUAUUAUAAUUAAUUUUCUCCAUUGGAAGUAGGUGUGUCAAGUGACUAUCAGAUUAAGGUACUUCAUGACUGCAGUAAAAUCUUUUGAUUUAAACUUAACUGUAGUUAUCUUUUUACAAGUUUCAGUCUUUUGACUGUGGCCUUGCUGGGGCACCACUUGAAGAGUUUAGUUGGACAAAUUGAUUUCAAUACUUAUUCUAUUUCAAAGCCUGGUACUUAUUCUAUCAAUCUCUGUUGCUAAACUGGUAUGUUAUGGGGACAUAAACAAACCAAUACUGGAUGUCAAAUAGUGGUGAGACAUGUGCGUGUGUACACGCAUGUGUGUGCGUAUGUCUUCUUUCAGUUUCCAUCUACCAAAUCCAUCCACAAGGCUAUGGUUGGCCCAGGGCUAUAGUUGAAGACACUUGCCCUAGGUGUUGCACAGUGAAAGUCCACAUGACUGAGAAGUAAACAUCUUACUGCCUGUGCUUGUAUAGUUAUUAUAUUUGGACUUUUGUCAGCUGAAAAAUUAGUAUGAAUUUCAUAUAAAAACUUAAAAGCAUCCAGCUACCACCAAAGUCUUGCUUUAAUAAGUUUCUUUGAAACAGAAUAUCCAAAUUCACUUUCAUUUUAAACCCUUUCAUUUUAACUUAAAUUCUAUCAUUUUUAUAGUUUUGCUAGAAAAAGCUUAGUUAUUAGAUACCAUUCUGUAACAAUAGAUUGAUUGUAACUUAAAAGCUGUACUUAAAUAUGUUUUUAAUUUGGUUAUAGUUAACUUCACUAUUUUCUACCCCUGACGUAUGCUUUGAAAUAAUAAAUAAUGAUAAAAUAAACAAAGAUCACAUAUUAAAUUACCCCAGUAAUUUUUGUUGAUAAUGUCUAGUCAUUGGAAAUAUGUUUUUAUGGCUUUAAAAUAUCAGCAUUUGAGCUGUUCCACAUUGUGAAUAGGAAUUAGAAUUAAGUAUCUCUGUGGUUGUUAGAAUUAAGAAUCAGUUGGAAAAUCCUACAUAAAAAUAACUGAGUUGUUUUUUAACAAUAGGUAGUAAGUUGAUGAAAAUAUAUUACCAGCUGAUGAGGAACUUGUUUAGUUUCCACUGCUCAUCAUUCAAGUUUUGCUGGUGUUGGUGUAAGUUUCAAUGUAAAUAUUAACCUCUUUCUUAUUGCUGUUUCUAAAUAAGGGUGUAUCAUUUUGCUUGUCAACAUUUUCAUCACAACUAAGAGAUGAAAAGUUGAAGUUAAAAAAAAAAAAAAGAAGGCUACUUAUGAGAGAGAGAGAGAGAGAGAGAGAGAGAGAGAGAGAGAGAGUCUGCAAUUAAGUAAAUUACUUGAAUUGAAAACACAUCUAUUGAAAGUAACAGCUCCACUGAGCUUAGGAAGUAGAAUUAGGUAGAUUAAUAGAACACCACCACCACUGUAGUCAGUGAAAUUCUACCUAGUAACAUAUGUAUAUGUUUCUCUAUCUUCACUGUUUACAAGAGUUUAACAGCCUCUGCUUGCCAGCAUUGGCAUCUAAACAGCAUUCUAGUUGGUAUUUUGAUAAUAUUCUACACUGAAUAAUAUAAAAGAUAUUCUGUUUUUUUUUCUCCACACACAAUUCACUACUUUAUUGUAUAAAAUUGGCUAACUAAUAGAUGCUUAUUUUUCUUCUUAAUCUAGUUUCUUUAAAUGUAAAAAUUGUAAAACCUAACAAAAUUGAAAAAAGAAAGAACCUUUUUUUAAAACUGUUUCUUUCUGUAGCCGUUUGUUAAUGAAGAUUGUGUGAAGCACAUAUUUCAUUACUUUUUCUCUCUUUCUUCUCCUCUCACCCUCUUCAUCUAUAUCCCUCUCUCACUCUCCUUCCCUCUCACACACACACACACACACACACACACACUCUAUAAGCAGAAGUAAACUUUUUGAAGUAUUUUAGUUUGUUUUUAUAUUUUGUAAAUUUAAAUCUGAAUAGAUAAUUUCUUGUAUAUUAAAAGUUUCAACAUCUUUAAUGUUGAUGUCCAGUAAUGAUAUUUUUAAUAUUGCAUGUUUUGUCAUUGAGCUUUGUUCUUGUUAUCGCUGCUAUGGUAGGUGUUGUAAUACUGCAGAAAGUUAUUAGGAAGUGAAAUCUGAGGCUUGUCUUGAAUUCCUGUUUGGAUCCACUCUUGUCUGAAUGCGACAAUUUUGUACCUCUGUUUCCCCAAAAUCUGAAUUCAUAUCAAUGUCACCAUUCCUGAGUGCUGUCAAAUUCUAUACCAGAGAUUUAGCUUUUGGGAUUUUUAUGCACCAGAUUCCUUGCAAUACUAAUUCCUUCCAGGCUUGCUUGCUUAUGACUGAAUUUAGGUUUUGUAGGGUAAAAACAAGAUAAUUUUCUCUGAACAAUAAACAGAUACCAUAUUGUCUUUGACAACUAUUUAUGUUUAUAAAAUAGUUCUUUUUAUUUUGGUAUCAGUAUAUCUCAAUGCAAUUCCUGUUUAAUUUAAAAUAGUUUCUCAUGAAUGUAAAAAAGAUAAUGCUAAAUGUAAUAAAAACCUUUAUCUGUUGCAGACUUCUUCAAUUGGAUUUAAGGAUGUGAGUGGAGAGUUAGAUUUUCUGUGCAUGAUCAAGAUUUUAUUCUAAAGAUCUACUAAUGCAUAUGCUAUUGACUCUCUGUUUAACGAAUCAAUUAAGUAACUUCUGUUCAUAGCUCCAAAGCACUGAGCUAUAAUUAUGUGUUGGCUAACAAACGUUAACACAGUGUUGUGUUUUCUCAAACAAUUCUACAUGUUCUUGGAAUUGCAAAUAACUAGUUUUAGACAAUAUCUAACAGACAACUGCAUGUUUCAUUUAUAUAACAUUGAAUUCUGUUAGUCAGAAUGGUACCUAAGUAGUCUAACUAAAGGUCUACAACCAAUUGUCUCUUAAGAAUCAUUGAUAUUGAGUGAUAAAGUUAUCUUUGUUGUGGGUAUGUAUAUAUUGUUCUUUACAUAGUUAAUGGUGUGUGUGUGAAUUGAUUUAAAAUAAACUGUAUUUUGAUAUCCCAGCUGCCUUUCUGUCCUCUUUGAACUAUAUAAAAAGCAAUAGGGAUUAAGAUUAUUUAUGCGAGUGUCUCUAAACUCAUCAAGAACAAGGACUGUAUAUAUGAAUAUUUAGUAGGUGUUUGUGAUUUUAAGAUAUAUUUUGUUUUUAAAGACUCCUCUCAGUUUUUGAGUCUAGUAACAGAACUGACAGUAGAGCUUAUAUUCUGACCAAACCUACACAACUCUUCAUUAGCGCCAUCAGCUAUGAAACAUGGCAAUUUCACAGCGAUGUUGGUAUGGCUGUGUAUUUAAUAUCAUUUAGUUUCAGUUCCACUGUGCAACACUUUGGACAAGUGUCUUCCAGUAUAGUGCUAGCUGACCAAUGUCAUGAGAGUAAAUUUGGUAUGUGGAAACUGAAAGAAGCUCAUCAUAUAUGUGUGUAUGACCUUGUAUUCCCUUUGUCUUGUUAUUUUGUGGUAGUUGUAAAAGAGUAAUACAAGUUGUAGCAUUCAUUUCCAAUCUAUGUAAACAUAUCCAGCCAUGGUGAAAUAUUACCUUGUUUGGAAAGAGGUGAGGGUUGGCAACAUGAAGAUGAUCCAGCCAUAGAAAAUCUGCUUCAAUAAAUUCUGUCUGACCCAUGCAUGUAUGGAAAUGUGGUCAGGAAAAUGAUGUUGAUGCUUACAACUCAAUCAAUUUUCCUUGUGGUUCCUUAAUUAUAGCAAGAUAGCCGGGCUUUUGAAAAUGACACAACAACCCAGUCCUGUAACAUGGUAUAACUAGAGAGAUCCCCACCCCAUCCAUUUGUUUGAUCUUCUGUCCACUUGGUUACCUGUUGCCACUGUUAAUUUAAACUGAUAUAUUUUACUACUUAUCAUUAUCAUCAAUUUAGAAUUGCGACAAAUGGCAGAGCAUCAGACUAAUUCCUUAUUUUUUACUCUUUUACUUGUUUCAGUCAUUUGACUGCAGCCAUACUGGAGCACCACCUUUAGCCAAACAAAUCGACCCCAGGACUUAUUCUUUGUAAGACAAGUACUUAUUCUAUCAGUCUCUUUUGCUGAACCACUAAGUUCUGGGUUCGUAAACACACCAACAUCAGUUAAGUGAUGGUCGGGGGACAAACACAGACACAAAUAUAUAUAUAUAUAUAUAUAUAUACAUGAUAGGCUUCUUUCAGUUUCUGUUUACCAAAUCCACUCACAAGGCUUUGGUCAGCCUGAGGCUAUAAUAUAAGACACCCAAGGUGCCAUGCAGUGGGACUGAAUCCAGAACCAUGUGGUUGGGAAACUUACCACACUUGCGCCUAAUAUCUAAUUUGUCUCACUGUACUUAGAAUUUAGACCUUUCUUGAAUCUAUUUUGCCUGUGGUCAAUAAUAAUAAUAAUACUGCAUUAAUUUGUCAGAGUAAAUUAUUUAACAUGUUGACAAAUAAAAUUUAAAAAAGACCCCAAAAUGUUACAAUAAAAUAUUUCCUACAUUUAUUUUGUUCUCUCUGUUUACUUUAGGAUGUGAAGCUAUGAAUUUAUUUUUAUACAUCGGAUUAAUUAAAAAUAUUUACUUCUGUUGUCAGGCAUCUUUCCAUUAAUAUUAUUACAUGCGUGUGUGUUUUAUAUUUGAAAGAUUGAUACCAUUAAAUUGAAUAUUGUUUUAGUUUCCAGUUGAUUAGCCUGUUUUAUUUUGUUGUCAUAGAAACCUAACAAUACUUUUUAUUUUGCCAAGUCAAAUAUUUUCUAUCUGUUUGUCUUUUCUUUCUUCAUGGAGUAUAUAGUAGUUUAUCUUAUAUGAUUUUUGGUACUUUUACUACGUCAUCAUCAUUUAGCAUCCAUUGACCAUGCUGGCAUGGGUUGGAUGGUUUGACCAUGGCUGUAAGGGGCUGCACCAGACUCUUGUCUGAUUUAGCAUGGUUUCUAUGGCUUGAUGCCCUUCCUAAUGCCAACUACUCCGAGACUAAUAGAUAUAGCAUAUCUCUAAUCUAAACAUCAAGUUGUUCAGUUGUUUUGAAUGCAGCUAGAUAUGAGGACCUUAAAAAUACAACUAUAAAAUAUCACUGAAGAUGAAAUAGGGAUUAUGUUUUGUUUCACUAGCAGAAGAUUUAAUACAACGAUUUGGUAUUUCUAAAGCAUGCAGUUGAAGCAUUACUAAAAUGAAAUGAAUGGCAGAAUCCCUCAAAUUAGAACAUUUUAUAUUGGUCAUAACUUUUGCAUUAUUAAUAUAAACUCUCUCUUUAUUUUUAUUACUUUUCUUCAUCCUUCUCAGAAUUUCAACUUGUCUCCUUAAAUUUUAUGCUUCUGAAUUCUUCAAAAGCCUAACUUUUCAUGUGUAGCUCAUUAAAGAUGACACCAAAAUAAGAAAGUCAUUAAACUUUUGUUCUUCACUCCAUCUGUAACUUAGGAAAUUAAGUGUUGUUAUCCACAACCAAUACAAUGAUUAUAAAAAUUGCAUUAAUAUAUAUAUAUAUAUAUAUAUAUAUAUAUAUAUAUAUAUAUCCAGGCCUGGGUAGCCACAAUAAGACACACCAGGCAUUCCAUUCAUUUCCCAGCUCAAAGGGGUGAGUCCCGUUCUAUGCUCAGGUCAAAGCAUAGAACGCAACCCCCAAUAUCAGCAGUGGGGCCUGACAGCAUAUGCUGGUUUACCCAUGCCACAUCAUGCUAGUUCCAUACCCCUUUGAGCAACAUCUAAGUUCACUCAUCUGUCCACAAACACUGUCCAAGCUUUCCUAUCAUUUAUAAACUCUCUUGCCUCUCUCACUCCAACAUCUCUAACCACUAAAGCUUUCCUCACUCCAUCCAUCCACACAAACCAAGGUCUACCUCUGGUUCUGCUGCCUACCACUUCAGCUUUCAUCACCUUUCUUACCAUCCACUCUUCAUCCAUCCUCUUGCUCAGUGCCAGCACAUCCAUCCUUCUUUUCACCAUCACACUCUCUAUCUCUCUCCUCUUUACUUCACUUGUACUACACCCACAUACAUUCUAUGACCCUAGUACUAAAGUGAGAUUUGGUGCUAACCUUCUCCCACCCCCUUGUCUUUUUCUUGUCUUUUUAGGAAUAUGGAUUUAUUAGGAGAGGAUUCCCAGUCCCCUCACUCCUGUCCUUUUUAGUUGCCUCUUAUGCCACACAGGGUAUAUGGCGACUUCAUUCUACUGCCCCCCCCCACACAGUUAGGUUUGCUAGUUAACUCAUAGCUGGGACCCUUACAGAUGCUACCAGUCCAGGCCAGAGUAGACCAGGGAACAAUAGUGGCUAAGAGGUGGUUCCACACUCGUCAAACCGUGAAACCAGGGCCCCAUGACCAGAUGUAGCUUAUAGUCAUACCCAGGACAAUAUAUUCUAGGAAAUAUACUCAGAGAUGCCAUCUGCAUGAAUAACAACUGUUAAUGUUAUACACUUAGUGCUGUGUUUUAAUUAAAUUAUAUAAUUAUCUUUAGUUAGCAUUAACUAUGUUAGCACUAACUUAAAUAUUGGUCUGCAUGGGAAUAGCAUCUCUUAGGGAUAUAUUCUCUAACAAAAUUCUUGUUUUCUUUUACACCAACUCCUACACGUUAUUGUGCAGUUAUUUAGGGAUUUGUUGAUUUUUCUGAUCACUACUUAUGUACCAUGAAGUUUAUACUUUGGUGAUGAGGUGAUAAGAUUGAAACAGUUACUAAGUUGUCUCCUGUACUAACUGAAAUACUCUAUCAGUCAUUAGUUAAUAUUUGUGUUUCUUCAUUGCAUAAUUAUCUCUAAUCAACUUUUUAAUGUUCCCUACAUCAAAUAUGUCAACACCAAGAUAAACACUGAAUCCUGUAUGAUUGUCUGAGUAAUUUGUUAAAAAUUUCUGUAUUCAACUAGGUUAACACAGGUCAGUAAUGUCUUGCUAUGGGGUAAAUGAAACAAAAAAAAAAAAAAAAAGUUAUACACAUCAUCAGUGUUGCAAUAUUGGUGUACUUAAAGACAAGGAGUAACAGCCAAUCAUUUUCUUUGCUCUAUAACUAAACUAUCAUCUAUUUGAUAGCCCAUUCAAAAGUACCUUGGAUUGUAGGGUGACAUGCUGUGCUUGAGGAGACCUGAGUCAAGUACAUCAACAUCAAAAUAAAAAUCAAAUGGGAAUUGUAGUUGUGAUCCCCGUGCCAGUGGCAUGUAAAAAGCACCAUCCAAACAUGGCUGAUGCCAGCGCUGCCUUGUCUGGCUUCCAUGCCGGAGGCACAUAAAAAGCACCAACCGAUCGUGGCUGUUGCCAACCUCCUCUGGCCCUUGUGCUGGUGGCACGUAAAAAGCAUCCACUACACUCAUGGAGUUGGCGCUAGGAAGGGCAUCAACUGUAGAAACAUUGCCAGAUCAGACUGGAGGCUGGUGCAGCCUCCCGGCUUCCCAGACACCAGUCGAACCAUCCAAUCCAUGCUAGCAUGGAAAACGGACGUUAAAUGAUGAUGAUGAUGGAUAGAUAGAUGUUCUGCUGCCUUUUGAUUGUAGGUGCACUGUCUUUUAUGUUACUCUAGUGUAUGUAGUUAAUAAAUUUUUUGAGCUUUUGUGAGAGAACUUCAAUCAUUUCAUUGUUCCAUCACACUAUACCAAUGAUGAUGCUUAUGAUUAAGAAUCUGUAGUGAGGGUUAAAUAAAAAUAGUCAUAUUUGUGUAAAAAUUUCCUUUAUUUUUUCUUUACCAUGUGAUGCUAUGUUAAUUUGUUAUUAGCAUGUGGAGAAAGUGGAAAAGUAGAUUGGUACUUGAAGUACUUUAAUUUAGUUUACCCCCACCAACCUUUCCUUUGAGUUCAGUUUCUGUUCACUGUCUGUCCUCUCACUCAUCAUAUAGGUACCAUCAACAUACUGGCUAAUUUAAUCAGCAACAAUUCAUCAAAAAUUUUCUUAAGGGCUUUUUUGAAAAAAAAAAAUGUUAGUUUCAGCCAUUUUGAAAAACUAUAUGAAUGACUCAAAUCAUAAAGAUUAGAUGUUUUAUAAUCUAUUGAUCAGUUCUUUAUCUUCAAAGAAUCCAGGUUUCAUACUUUUUUUUCCCAUUGAAGGUCAUUAUAUUGAAAACUUUAUCAAUUAAAAUUUUCUCUCAUAACCCUUUUUAAUACCAACCUUCUCAAGACUAUCUCAGGUUCUGAUAUAAAUUUCCUGUUUUAAUGUGAUCUAAAUCGAAACCUUCCAUCAAAAUUUCAUGUUAAAUUAAUUUACUAAAUUCCAGCUUAACUUAUGUUAAUGAAUUCGUUAUUAUUUUCAAAAUUAAUAGAAACAAAGGCAGAAUGUUUCAAUACAAAUAUUGUAACAAAAGAAUUAAAGAAUAGAAGAAAAAUGUAUUUGAAGGGAUAAAUAUUAUCCAUCUUGUGUAUGUAUUUGUUUGUCUAUGAAUGAGGACACUACUACAUGUGUGUGUGUGUGUGUGUGUAAAUGAAUGAAAUUAUAUAAAGAGUACAGCGCUUUCUUAAAUGCAAAGUUUCUCAAUGAUUUCAUUUUAGUGAAACCUAAUUGGUUUUUAUUGAUUUGUCAAAGUUUCAUCUAUUCAGUGCUAUCAGUUAUGCUUAAAUUUGUGUUUUUUUUUAUUGGUUUAUUUCACAAAAAUAGAUUUCUUGUAUUUUAUAAGUAAAUCACUUUCUAUAGUAUUUUAAAUUAGAUAUUUUAGAGAUUUACAAUACACUUAACAUUUGAAAAUGUUUCCUGUUAGCUAUAUAGCUUAACUUGAAAAUAGAAAAGAAAUGUUAUUAUUUUAACUUUUUCUAAAUAUAAUUUUUCUUCCUUUGGCAUAUAGGUUUGAUCAUGAUUUUUGCAUGCUCAUACAUACUGCAACCCAACCAUUUUUCUAUGCCAGCAUGGCUGGAAAUUUAUGCAAAUUGGAGUUGCUGAAGUGUUUUAUUAAGUCUUUUUUAAUUGCUUGUUGAAAGUUUCUUUUAAAAUUGUAACUCAUUAUAUUUUAAUUAGCCUCGCCUGGCCCCCGUGCUGGUGGCACGUAAAAAGCACCAUCCGGCCGUGGCCGUUUGCUAGCCCCGUCUGGCAACUGUGCUGGUGGCACGUAAAAAGCACCCACUACACUCACGGAGUGGUUGGCGUUAGGAAGGGCAUCCAGCCGUAGAAACACUGCCAAAUCAGACUGGGCCUGGUGCAGCCUUCUGGCUUCCCAGACCCCAGUUGAACUGUCCAACCCAUGCUAUCAUGGAAAGCAGACGCUAAAUGAUGAUGAUGAUGAUGAUGAGUCAUUUACAUAAAUAACUUAGUUCUGGAUGUGCACCACUACAUCAACUAUAAGUAUUUGAUGGUAGAAAGGAAACUCUCUCUUAGCUGUUCCUUAGUUGGUAAAUGGUACUUACAUUUCUUGUAAUAAUAAAAAUUUUAAUAUGUCUUAAAUGUUAGAUUUCAGUUUUAGAAUUAUCAUUUUGUGUUUUUUUUUUUGCAUCUCUCUUCAUCUUCUGUGAUGUAAACUUGCUAGAAAUAACAGCCAAGUCUCUUCACAUCACACCUGUUCAUUAUUUAAUGUAGUUGUACAUAAGGUGUGAUGGCAAUAACUGGAGUGUCUUGAAUCAUAAGUCUAUUCUGAUACCAAAUAUUACACUACAAAUUCACUUGAUAACAAAUCUACUGAAUAUUUCAUCCACAAAUAUCUUCAUUUGUUUUUGUUUUGUUUUUCAAUCAACUAAAAAUAUGUCAUUGUGCAUAGAGUGCAGCUUUUGCAUACCUUUUUAACUUUAUUCAACCAUUCAGCUAUGGCUUUCCUGGUCACAAAUAUAAAACAAUAGUCAAGAAUUUAAAUAAGCCUGCUUGCAAACCUAUUUACACAUGAAAUGGUUAAUUAUAAAUAUGGGAGACCAACUGAAUGAUAGAGAAACUUCUUAUUUUGGAGAUGCACUUGACUGGCAAAUGAUUUGAUCUGAAACUGUUGGAACUAAAACAAUUACAGAAGAUACAUAUUAGCCAUUGCAAAACACAAAAACUGUUAACUUCAUGUAAACAUUUAUUAUUUGGUGUAAUAAACUUUUUAUAUUGUAUGGGGGCAAUAGCAGCACAAAACCAUAACUAUCUUCAUUCACAGAACCUGUGUAUGACAAUUACAAUAGUAGAUGUCUUUCAAACAUCACAAUACCAGCUGUUGUUGGUCUGCCUGCCUCUCUGUCAGUGUGUGUGUGUGUCUUCAAAUUUGUUCGAAUUGAUCAGCAUUUAACGAUAGUGUUUUGAGAAUGAACUACACUUGUUCAUAACUUUGGUCUGAUGGAACAUUAACCUAGAGCUAUUUCUUGCCUGUGAUUCAUAAAAUUGGAAAUGGAAACACCUGAGAUAUUUUGUAGUUACUUUUGUAUUGAUUUGUCCUCGCCCUCCCUCUCUCUCCACACUGAGGCAUACUAAACAUUUUCAUGACCAGCAAAUAAGCAAUCACCAUGUCUUUACUAUCUGAGUGUAGGAAGUUCUCCCUUGGCAUUACUCUACCCUCAUCUAAGAAGCCAAUGUUUAAAGGUAGUGUUUAGAAUCUAGUUUAAUGGAUAGCCAGCUCCUUUUAAUCUGAUCCUUUUAAUAUGUUAUUACGAGUGGACAAUAGUUCAUUCCAGUAAUUACCUAUUUGACUCUGAAAUGUAGCAAUAAAACUAAUGUAGCAGAGAAACUAUUUUCUGGUUUGUUUUUUGAUUUCUGCUAUCAUUAAUACAAUAGUUUCAAUUAUCAGUUACAUUCUAGUAGCUGGGAGGAGAAAAAGAAUGUUGUAGAAUGAUAACUUUGUUUUAUGAUAGUGAGCAUCUUGUUAGAGUUGAGAAAUCUACCUCACCUGGUGCUGUUUGGUUAUUUUGGUAUUUCAUCUUUUCUGCUUGUUGUUUACAUAAUUUAGAAUUUAUCAGUUUUAUUACCUGUAAAAUUAUUAGCUUCAAUUCAGAUUUCUCAAUAUUAUAUUGCAGAUUGAAAAUAAAUAAAUGAGUAAACCAACUAAGAAGCAAUUAAAAAGUAAAUAAAAUAAUAUGAAAAUAUUUUAAUAUUUUGCACAAACUGAAUUAAGAAAUUUAAUAACUAUACACACACAGAUAUAUAAACACACUUGUGUGUGUGUAAUAUAUAUAUAUAUAUAUAUAUAUAUAUAUAUAUAUAUAUAUGUAGAGAGAGAGAGAGGGGGGGGUCCAAGUUAUUCUUCUAUUUCUUAUAGUUUAAAAACAUUUCCCAGUCUUAUUGAUGCUGAAAAUUAUCUGCUAAUAUCAACAUUUUUUAGACAUAAGCUUUUACUACAAGAAUUGUUUUAUUUUAAAAUUCUAUGCAUUCUUUCCCCUUUCUAAUUAUGCCAUUUUAAGCCAUAUUCAUAAAUAUAGUUUUUAUCUUUUAACAUACUACUGAAAGAAAACGAAUUUAAUCUGGGCUUCUGAGAUCAUUUUUCCUUUCUGUUUUCUCAUUUUAUUGAUUUGCAAUACAAACAUAUAUCAUAUACAUAAAUUUUGCAUCAAAAUAUAUCCUUGGUUGGAAAUGAAUGAUCAAAGCAGUAGAUGAUGAUAAGCAGUUUCUGGAGGCUAGUUUAUUGGUUUUGUUUUCGGUAAACCAAAAUGAAAAUUUGUGAAUAUUUUGGCAGUUGGUUUUUUUCCUUUUUCUUUUAUCUUUUUCUCCACUGCCAUUCCAAAGCUGUGUUGUAACAUAGUAGAGCUUAUCUCAGCUUUUGACUUGUUAAGAACUUCUCACUCUGGAUAGUAUGACUUAACUAUUGAUGAUUUGUCCAUAGAAACAUUGAACGUAGCACUCUAAAAUAAUGAAACACUUGUCCAGUAUACAAAGGGCAGCAGUGUCUGCUGCUUACGUAACAAUCAUCAUCAUGGCAGUGAAUCAGCAGAAACAUUGCAGUGUUAGACAAAAUACCUUUCAGUAUUAAGUUUCAGCUCUUCAUAUUCUGUAUUGAAAUCCCGCCAAGGUUGACUUUACUUUUCCUCUUUCUGGGGGAAACAGGGAUGGGGGGAAUCACUAAAAUAUAGUAGCAGUUAAAUACUGGGGUUACUAUAACUGACUGAGCCCACUUCACCAAAAUUUCUAACCUUGUGUCUAUGUAAGAAAUAAUUGUCGUUGUCACUACUGCCUCCCUCUUUAUCCUAUGUUCUAUUGAUUCUGUUAGCUCAGUUUUCCAUAUUACCACCCAAACAUGAAGAGUUAAAUAACAAGCACGUAACAUGCUUUACGUAGGGAGCACAAUGCGAGGACUGACUCUAGCAAACUUUAACUUCUGAUUGCCUAGUUAUGGAUCUAGCACUUUCUCUUUACAGCUGGUAUGAGUUUUUAAAUUUAAGUUUUAAAAAUGUCAAAAUUAUUAUGCAUAAACAACAAGUUGAAACUAUAGAGCAGGAACAUUGAACAGACUUGAACAAAAAUCUAUUGUUUACCAAUAAAGCACAAAACUGACUUCACUACAGCAAACAUCAGUGGAUCUGUUUCUCAUUUCUGUCUCAAAUUGGUGAUUAUAAUAUCUGAUAUGUUAAAUUCUUUAAAUUUGUGAUGAUUUAUUCCUCAAAUGAUCAAUUCUGUACUGAGUGGUUUAUUUAUUCUUUUAUUAGUGCAGCCUGUGACCAAUGUUGGGGUAGGGCCAUCAAUAUUUUCCUUUUCGCAUAUUUAAUAGUUAUUUUGUUUUGUUGCCAUUUUAGGUUUAUUUCCUUUCAUGUAGUUCCACUUUACCAUUUGUCUAGAAGAGACUGUGACAUUACCUGAAAUGGCAUGCUGUGCAUGAUAUUUAUCAGUAUAAGGAUAUGAAUGCUGUGACCAGACAAUCUCUUCCAUGAUGCGACAAGAAAAUCUCUUCUGCAGUUUUACCAGUCCUAAUCUGCUUUAGAUUAAGAUAGCACCAGCAGGGUUCUGAAGUGUCUAAUCAAUAAUAAACCAUUUGGGAACAGAGUAAACUAACAAAGAAACUUCUGGAAAUAACAGCCAAAUUUCCCUCCACUUGUUCUCUUCUGUUUUAAAGAAAGAUGGUUGGAAUGCUUUUGAUCAUAGCUCAGCUCAAUCACAGCUGACCUAGGGCUAAACAACCAGCCAUUUGUAAAAUUCAGAACAAUAGUUUAGUUAAGGAGUGAGUUUGUUUUUUGUUACCUGACUUCAGUUUGUAUCUUCUUCAGAUAUAAAGUAUAGUGCCAUUUUUUUUAUUUUUAGUCUUCUAUUCCUUUACUAAGCUGUUUGAAAUUUUUAGAAUAUGGAAAGUUAUGUAGCAUAGAAUGUGGAAAGUUAUGUAACAUAGAUCCCAAAACUAUUGAUAGUGUGGAACCUUUGAAUUAUAUUCUUUUGUGUAUCAAGAACUCAAUACUCAGCUGAGAGUGAUGUGUAACCUGAAAUAUUUUCAUUAUUACAAGAGUUGCUCCCAAUAGAUUUAAAUAGUAAAUAGAUCGAUAACAUCUUUGACCUAUAAUGUCUACUAUGUUACUAUUUCAGCUAUAAAUCUUAUAGUAGAUAUUUAGAUUAAUAUAUGGACCGAGGUAUUUCAAGAUUUUGCUGUGGGUAGUACAUUAUGGAUCUCAGAUUGAGAGAGAGAAGAGAGAGAAAAGAAAUUUCUAAUCAAGGAGACUAAAAAAUCAAUUUAUAUAUCUGAAUAUUGUUAUUUGGUUUAAAUAUGUUUUAUUGGUAACUAGUUAUCUCAAAUGUUUACAUUUUUAAAAUUUAGAAAUUUUAUUUUAAAAUUGUGAUGCAAUGCAUUAUUUAUUGGUUAAGAAGUUGGCAUAAUCAGUGAACAUUAAGAGAAAAUGGAAAGUUUCCAUAUAUCUUAGUAGAAUCUGUCAAAUGCUUUAUUUUUAUAGGCCAAGUCUUUAAAAGUUCACACAGUUAUUUCUGUCAUGCUUAUGUGUUCAACUCUUUAACAUUCAGACUGUUUUGUUAAAUGUGAUGUUUAAUCAUUCACAUUGUUUUGAAUUAAUCAUGCAUUAUCUCAUAGCUUUGAGAUUUUGAUGAUUGUUUAUUAUUAGAAUGACAUUGUAGAGUAGGUGAGAGAAGAUGGAUCUGACUGGUUUGAAUAUAAAACAGGUAGAAUAUUUGAGCUUGGAUAUGGCCAGUUUAAAUGCUAAAGUAGGCCUUAAAUAUUACUAUUGAUCAUUCUGACUGAUUAAGAAACCCUUUAUAAAUUUUGCAAUAGUGUUUGUUCAUCAAAUAGGAUUAUUUAUUUUAAACUAUUUAUAUUUUGCUUUUCUAUCUUUAUCACUAAAUUAUUUGGUUGGAAAUACAAACUACCAUUUUCUUUGGUACCUCAGCAUGGUCACAGACAAGUAGUUGAAAGUAACAAAAUUCCGUUUAUUUGAUUAGCUUAGUUAAUUCUAUUCAGCACAUUCAUACACAACACCAUGAUGCUAACCAUCUUCAAGGGUUUUAGUUAAUGAUACUGACCUCUUCCCUCCCUUAGUACUUUGUUUUGUAUUUAUUUUAUUAAUCUUGGAAGGUCUCAUUGGAUUUCUUAUUAAUUCUUAAGCUAACAUAUAUGACAGUUGUGAUACAAGCUGAGACCUUUGUCUCUACUUUAUACCAUUACACCAGGGUUUGUCAGAAAAUUGACUUCCCAAUCCCAAACUUAUAAAUACUCAAAUAAAGACCUUUGAAGAAAAAAGAAAACUUUGAUGGAACACUUCUUGUCUUAAUAACUCCAUUGAUAACAACAACAUAGAUCAUAAAUUCGGUUUUAAAAUUAACAAGGGUCCAUCUUUUAAAAAAAUACUUCUAAAUGUGCACUUAAGAAUUUAAAAUUCAGGAAGUACCUCAACAAAUUCCAGAAUGACCUAUCCUAUAAUCUGGAAGUUAUAAGGAAAUACCCAAUGAAACUAAGAAUUUAUCCCCAUUUUAUCUUCAGUUUCAUUCACAAAAAUUAAAAGAAAGCCGACUGCAGUAGACUUAAUGCUGGCAAGUGUCGACCGAUCAGUCAACGACUGAUAGUUUCAGAAAAAAUCCUUUUCAAUUUUUUUCAAAAACUUGGAUUUCUGAAUUACCAUCAAGGCUCACCUCACAGAAGCAAAUUGUGUUGAUUUUACUCUUUGCCUCCUCAGUUUUCUUUGUUAUUAUGAACCUAACAAAAAAAUUGCACCCCACAUACACUCAGAACUUCUUUAACUAUUUAAGAACAUUUCGAUUUAGCACUUUGGAAAUUCAAACCAGCUAUAUCUGGCCGAAAUAUUCAGUUUUAUGUGAAAACUGGUCAGGUCUGGCCUCUUACAUCUGCCCUACUAUGUCAUUCUAAAAAAUAAACAAUCACACCAUCAAAAUUUCAAUGUUACAGGUUAAUGCAUGAUUAAUUAAAAACUAUGUAAAUAAAUAUUACAUUUGACAGUAAUUGAAAUGCUAAAGGGUUAAAUCAUAAUCAUAAAAAUAAUCUCAAAACUUCAAAUGCCUCUCACUCAAACUUCAACCAUAAUUUACCAUAUUCUAAUACCUCAUAAUGAAAGGAACUAAAUCAGUAACCACCAAUACAUCAUACUGAAUUACUUCACUGAUACCAAAACUGAUCUUUGGAAUUUGUUUGGCAAAAGAUUUAAUGUAUCACUAUAGUCAACACUUACAACAAAUGUAAAGCUUACAUGGUUAUGACUUCAAACUAGUCUAAAUCCAGGUGUUAUUCUCACAUAUAAUCUUUUAGAAAUCAAAACCUCAUUGGCUUCAUACAAUUAAGUCUCAAAAGGGGAAUUUGAUAGCCAGUAUUAGAAUACUGUUCUUUGAGCUUAAGUAUACCUGCAUAACAAUCCUUGCAAAUUUAUCACCAUACAGGACUGCCAUAUCUUUUUUGUUAAAAUCUCAUUAUCUAGUUGUCUCUUGGCAAACAUUUGAAACUGUAAUCCUAGGAAAUUCAAGAGACAAAUUUUUUUCAUGUUUGUCUUCUUUCACUACUAGCAAUAACAUAUCUCUAUUUGUGUGCAUGUUUUUGUAUUUUCAUCAUUUUAGUCAUUCUGUAUUCUGCAUUCUUAGAUCAUCUUCAUUUUUUUUCACCUCCACCAUUAUUAAUGUGUGUAAACUCAUGGACACUUUUUCCCAUAUUGGAGUUUUUUUAAAAUUGAAUCACCAUUCACCAUUCACUUUUCAUCUUUGCUUCUGGUUAAAUCAUAUGUGAAUAUGUGUGAUUCAUUAAUAUUUUACAUCUGCUUUCCAUUCCUAUAAAUUUAAAAUAUUGAAAUGAUUGGUGCCUUAGUAUGUCAAACAGACUCUUGAAAAGUGUGAGUUGGCAGUCUACUUCCAAUUCUUAGUUGGAGAUGUUAUUUACGAAUAUAAUAUUUUCUCUCAAAUACUCAGGCUUCAUUCCUUGCAUCUGGAAGGCAUCUAGUGUAUUGUCUGUGAGAACCUAUGAUAGUGUCUUCAUAGGUGUGUCCAGAAUCGAGACAUACCUUUAAGUAGAGAUAAUUUUGACAAGAUACUUCUGUUGAAAUGUAUUGAUAUAUUAGUAGAAUCGGUACACUUGUCCAAUGUAAGGUUAGUUAUCCCAACUAAAAAUUGAAACUAUGAAUUCAGCAUUUUGCAAUGAUGCCUUGGACAAUCAUGUAGCAGAUAAAAAGAGGCUGACAAUCUAAAUCUCAAAAACUGAGAUUCAGAUAUUUCCAUACAAAGUAGUCAGUCUAUGAUAGUCUGGAAAUAAGUAAUGCUAUGUGGCUGUAGAAACACAUAUCUAAAUAGAAAUUAUUACUUUUGGUGCAUUGAAUUUUCUCUGUGGGAGACUCUUGAAAAAUAAGACAGUGGAAUAGUACAUUUUCACCAUGUCACAUUGCACUCCAUACAAAUCAUCAAUGCAGUGUGGUUCUCAUCUAGGCAGCAACAUGUUAGAUUUUGGACAAAUCUGUCAGCUGUGCCUCAUUGUUUGAACAGGUCUAUAACCUACAAAAAACAAGGUAUUAUUGGCUAACCUGUCAAUGAGAGCUGACUUGAAGCUAGACAUCAAAUUAACUUCCCUGGAAUUUGAAUUCAUAACUAUUUAGCAAUUUUUAAGCUCCCUGAAGUCUAAUAGCAAUUUCAUUGAAGUCCUUAUUAGUCAUUUACAAUUGAUAAUGAGUGGUUUGAUUUCAUUAUUAUUUGUUGCUAUUCAUCCAAGACAAUUGUCUUGUCAUUGUCUGGAUGUUAAUUGUUGAUGUUUGGUAGCAAUUUGAAUAUAAUUCUGAAGAUAAUGAAAUUUACUUUUGCCAUGCUAGAAUGCUUUAUACAUAUAAUUGUUGUUUCAAAAUUACUUUACAUUGACGAAAGAAGUAUUUCAUUUUUUAAUAUCUUGAAACCAAAUGUAAAAAAUUUGUUUUAUUUUUUGUUUAACUGUUUUGCUAUAAGUAUGACAACCAUUGAUACUUCAGUUCAAAACUAGUUUUAAAGUGUUUAUAUUUUAAAUUAAAAUCUUCCAUCGUAAUUUUAUGUAAAAAAACAACUACAAACUUUUUGUUUUAGUAAUAAUAUUAGUUGUUUUGGUAAAUCUUUUCAAAUUGUCGAUUAUUUUCAAAAUUAAUUAAAAUGCAUAAUGAAUGUAUUUUGUUAAAAAUCUAGUCAUGAAACAGUCAAACUUUUCUCUAGCUUAAUUAAUUCAGUAUGGUUAACAUGUAUGUAUUUAGGUUGAGUAUUGCCUCCUUUCUAUGUUACAAUGUUAAAAUUAGUAUAGUCCUAUUUAUGAUAGCAUUCAAUUGUGAUAAACAAUUAUUUUUCCUUUUCUGACAUAAUGAAUCCCUCCACCCUAAUUUAUAGGUGAAGGAAACAUUGAAAAUGUAUAUAUGUGUGCAUGCAUGUGUAUGAUAUAUAUAUAUAUAUAUAUAUAUAUAUAUAUAUCAGAAUAAUGGAAAAUGAAGACAAACACCCAAGAUGUUAUUUAAAUCAUUUAUAUCACCAACAUAUAUUUCAAUACAUGCAUUAAAAUAAAUCCAAGAGGAUGAAUAAUGUGGAACAAUGCAUCAUUCUCACCAGGGAGGAUAUAAACAACAGUGUUCAUCAAUAAGUCAUUUUAACAGAUGUAAGAAACUACAAUAUAUGAUAUAUACAUACAUAUAUAUAUGUAUGCAUAUAUACAUACGUAUAUGUACAUACUUACAUCUAUAUAUAUAUAUAUAUAUAUAUAUAUGCAUAUGUGGGCACAGGACGUCAUGAAACGUGUACAACGAAAAAAUACGAAGUACGAGUUUUUCAAACAAUGCAAGACUCAAAUGGAAAACAAGACAAACAACAUAAAGAAAGAUCCUUCAUUAGUUGUUGGCUGUUUUUCUACUCUCAUAUUUUGAGCAAUUACCAGCAAUAUACACUUUCGAUAAAACAGUUGUUCCUGCAAAGCAAACUAAAUAAAAUUUGGGAUUUUGCGGAGGGUCAAAAUUGGUAACUCAAACAGGACAGUGAAAACAAACACGAAGAGCUGUUAAGCCUAACUGAGGUUGUGGUGGCGAAUGCGAUAUAUAUAUAUAUAUAUAUAUAUAUAUAGAGCAAAAAAGAAAAUGGAGGGGAUACAAAAAUAACAUACAUCAGCCAGUAGACUUUCUAUUAUGUCUAUUUAUUCUAAAACAUAAGGAAGUAUUAUAAGAGUACACACACAUUCAAAGACUGUGUGCUACACAACUAUGUACUAGUAAUACAUAAAAGAGUAAAAGAUCAGUUCCUUACCACCGUUUCUGCCAAGAGGUCAUGGUAUCUUCCAUGCUACCUCCAUCUCUAUAUACAUGUAAAUACACAUGCAUGCACACACACAUACAUAUAUACAUAGAUAUAUGGAAAAGGAAGUUGGGUAGGGAACGCUAAAAAUUUUCAAAAUACCAUUAAGAAAUUUGAUGUCAUAGGACAUGAGCAGGGUGGAAGGAAAGAGAGAAAGAGAAUUAAAGAAGAAAUGGAGGUAUAAACAAAUGGAGAGUAAAUAUUAGAUGGAUAGAAAAGAUGACUGAAAGAAUAGGAGGUUUGGGAAGAAAGAAUAAAGAUUAAGUUGCAGACUAUUAGGUAAGGGGGUAGAUAUUAUUUGAAAUAGCUGAAAGAGUGUUUUUUUUCCAAUGUAAAUACCUAUAAACACAUUAUUUAGAGAUGUUGACAGUGUAUGUUUGGAAAAAAGGAUAAGUAGUUGUUCAUUUGUACAAAGAAGGCAGAAGGGUCUCCCUUUAUCAUAGGGAAAUGCUCUUGAUAAAAUUUUCCAAUCCAAAGAAAAUUGUUUAUUAGAGUCUUUGAGAUGCCAAAUUAGUUUACUAAGACCUAUAGAAUUAUAUUUAUUAAUGUAUUUAAAUGUAGAAAUGUGAUUCGCAGUACAUUCUUUUACUUCUAUAGAUGAAAGUCCAAUAUAAAAGAUUUCUUUAGAUCCUGCAGUAAUUUUACAUUGGUAAACUACGUUUGCGGAGGCACAUGGCCUAGUUGGUUAGAGCAGCAGACUUGUGGUUGAAGGAUCGCGGGUUCGAAUCUCAGACCAGGCGAUGUGUGUGUUAAGCUAGAAUGGGUAGCACUUAAAAAUCCUCAGCAUAAAAUGGAAAUCUGGGCUCUCAAAAUAUCUGGAAAUGAACUUCUGAGUAAUGGUUGAACCUGUGUUACUUGAUGUAUACAUGUAUAAAAAUAUCAUUGCAUUAAUUACUAAAUAUUGUCAUAUUUAUUUCAAAAUGUCGCCAUAUUUUUUUUACUCAAUAUUGUAUUUCACUUCCAUUAAAGGAUAAAAAUUUUAUUUUUUUAAACAUUAGUUAUUCCUCCAUUUUUCAUAUAACACAUGAUAGAAUUGGAUUAUCAGCUUACAGGAAUAUUUUGACAUCAGUGGAUAAUUAUUAUUGGUUUAGUUGUAUGGCUUUGUGCCUGAUAUUAAAUGUAAUCUAUGUGAAGAGUUACAAUGUGUGAUAAGAUAAUGAGUUGACUUGACAGAUAUGGUAGGAAGUAAGGAAGGCAAUGUAAUGAAAUGAGGAUGAAACUUGUUUGUGAUUGGAUAUGACAACACAAGUCACCCUGUCAGGUUGACGACGAAUUUAUGGUGAACUUGCAGUUGACAAAUUUGAAUCCUUUCAAAAGUAACUACUCUUUGUUCCGUUGGAACUGUCCAAGUGAUGAUCACUGAUCUUUGUUUCUAAAUAGAUGUCCUUGAUCUAUUUUAUUUUAUAAAGUUGCUUUAUGAUGCAAAACAAAUCCUGCCCUGAUAAAUGAUGUACAACACUCAAGAAAAUCUGUUAUCAAAAUGAAUCUUAGUGUCACAUUGAACAUUUAGAUUCUAUUGGAAUAAUGAAGUUAAUAGGCUAAUUAUACUUUGCAAUCAAACCUUAUAUCUUCUGUGUUUGUGUUGCUUACAUUGGAUAAGUAUAUCUAGACGGUCAUGGCUUGAUUAUCUUCGAUCGUAUGUCUGCUGAAUCUGAGUUGAUAUAAAGUUAAUCAACAACAACCAUCACAACCCAUAUUUACUCUUCAAUUUGAUGGCUCAACCAUGACAUUUUAUUACAGACUCUUCCCUGUCCAAACAUAAUACUCUUUCUCUUAACAUUUCAUAAGGGUCUGCUCUAUUAGUUAAAAAGUUCACUUUACUAGAAAGGCACACAUUCAUUUGAGAAAAUUUUACAAAACUCUGUUGGAAACGAAGUGACACAUGCACACUGAGUGUUCAGGGGUAAAAAGGGUAUCUAGUUGUGAAAACUGUAAAAGUAUGAAUUAUACUGAAUUAUUUUAGUUAAUGAAAACUUGAAAUUAAUGACUUGUUUUCUUUGUGUGUGCUGGUGUAUCAAGGCUGCAUUUCACUGAAUAAAGUGGAUAAAUUAUUACACAUGAUGCAACAGUUUGUUGUGUGGGAGCUGUUCUUCUGUAGUGGUUGUGUUGGGUUGUUGGCCGUGUGUAAAUGAUGGACAACACUCGAUGUUGUCACCAUAACAACCUCAUUCUGAAAUAAGCAUCAAAGAUUCAUCUAUUUACAAACCUCAUUAGAAGGUUCUAGAAGAUAGAAUUGUGAUCGCUUGAUGCUGAUUGGUCAGUUAAUCAGCCAGUCAUGUGAAAUCACUAUGACUAAGCUGUGAUACUUGGGUAUCACAGAAUAAAAAAGUAUCUAAAGCAGUGUGUGUUCUAAUAUAUUAUAUAAUCCCUGAAAUAUUGUGUUCUGUAAUGUUGAAUGCAUUGGGAUCAAAUAGAUAUUUAUCUUAUGCAACCUCAAUUACAUUAGUAAUAUUUGAUGUUACAUGAAGGCAAUGAUGGAAAUAAGACAGAUGUAGUGUUGCCAUCAUUUUGUACGUGGUAAGAUAUGUAAUAUAUAACAUAUCAGGCCAGUAGGUCUACAGUAGAUUUACAUUUUAAUAUAUACCAUUAAUACAUAAAAUGGUAAUAUAUGUAUGGAUUAUGUUUGUGUAAAUAUUUGCAAUAUAUACUUAAAAUUUAUGUACAUUGGUUUGAUAUAUAUAAGUGUUUGAUAUCACUGUUAUUAUCAUCAACAGUAGCACUAUGUUAUCUUGUGAUGUUGAUAUAAACUAAAUGAGAUUACUGUUGUGGCCUAGAGUGUUAUUCAUUGAAAAUUGUCAAAACAAAAUAGCUUUGGGGAGAGACUGAAAUGAAUUUGCAUCAAAUUUACCCAGAUGUAAUUUGGUGUGUAAAGUUUGAUCUUCUGUUUGAAACCAAAUUCAUGAUUUAGAUUAUUAUUCAUUCUGUUGAAAGAGAAUAUUUUUUUCUUAUCUCAGCACUAUAAGCUAUCAAUCUAAUUAGAGUUUAAUCUAAUCAGAAUUUUUCCCUUUGAUUUAUUUGGAAAUUCAUACAGUUUUGAAAUAUGAGUUCUUUCUUGGAAAUAUAGCAUCACAAACAGCUCGCAAAAUUAAUGGUGUAUUUCAUUCUAAUGUUAUUACACAGCAGACAGUAUCAAAUUGAUUUUCAAAAUUUCGUUCCGGUAACUUUGACCUCAAAAAUGAGCAACAUGGUUGACCAAAAACAAAGGUGGAUAAUGAUGAACUGAAAGCUACCAUUGAGUCAAAUCCAUCUCAAAGUGCCUGUGAAUUAUCGUUGUUGUUUGGUGUUAGCAAGCAAACAAUAUAGACUCACCUAGUUCCAUUUGGUAAAGUGAAAAAGUUGGAUGAGUGGGUUCCACAUGAACUCAAUGAAAAUCAGAAGCAGCAACGUUUGGAAGCCUGCAUUAUGCUACUUUCUCCUCACAAAAAUGAAUAAUUUCUGAAGCGAAUUGUAAUGUGUGAUAAGAAAUGGCUCCAAUACAACAAAUGUAAAUGUUCAGAACAAUGGUUGGACAAAGACAAGCCACCAAAACACAGUCCAAAAAGCAAAAUUCGCCAAAAGAAGCUGAUGGUGUGUGUUUGGUGGUCUCGCACAGUUGUGAGCCAUUAUGACAUCAUUAAACCUUGUUCAUCAAUCACGGCUGAAGUAUACUGUAGCCAACUGGAUCAAAUGAUGUGGAAACUUACAAAAAUUCAUUCGAAAUAAGAUGUAUGUAGAUUGCUAUUUUCUGAUAUCAAAAGUUAAUUGCAUUGAUCUGAUAUUAACCAUUUGAGAAGUAUUAGGAGAAUUUACAGGAAAAUGCCAAUUUCAUUUUUAUUUAUUAAAUUUAUUUAUUAUUAUAAUAAAGAGUCAUUGAAUUCUGAAAGUAGAAGGUUAACAGCUGAAUUAUUGUUAGAAAUUAGUGAAAUGAAAACUGGGUACUGAUAAUCCUGUAUAUAUUAUCUGAAGUGUAUAUAUAUUUAGAAAGAUGGAGACAAUCUGUUAUGUCAUCUAACAGAGAACUAUCCAGUAAACUAGAGAUAUACAAUCUAGUUUGUCAUUAAACAUGUGUGUAAUAUUAUGUACUGUUUGAGUGCCAUUAGAUAUUAAAUAGAAAAUGUUCUUGAUUUGUAAAGAAUUUAGUGUAAAAGUUUAGCAUUUUUAUACAGUUUGUGUUAUAUGUAACUUGGAAUUUAUUAGGACUUGUUUCAUAAACUUUUUACAAAAUUUACUGAGCUAAUUAUUUUUUUAUUUGAAAAUGUAAAAUAAUUUUUCCUUCUCUGAUUUUAUUUUUUGGUUUGAUUAUAUCUGCUCUUGAAAAUUGUAGGAGUCUGAGAUUAGUUGUUUGGCCUACAAGUUCAUCUAUGUUCAAAGUACAAAGAGUCUUUUAGAUUUUUGUUGCUUAGAAACUUUUGGAUUAGGAUGUUCCAUCAUUGACCUGACUAUAAGUCGCAGCGACUUUUUUGAUGUUGGAGAGCAAAGUUCGAUUAGGAAUCGCGCCGACAUAGUUGUUGUUCGGUAACCGAGCUUUCAGUAAGCUGAAGAUGACUUACAAUGACUGUUAUCCCAUUAUGUCCAUGCAUUUUAGAAACCGUUGUUUGUAAUGUAAAAUUUUAUCCUUUUCGGUUAUCCCAAGUGUCGGAACUUCAGAUGUGACUUCUGCCUAGAAAAUAUCCGAAGAUUUUUUUUAUGGGAUGCGCUUAUAAGUCGCACCCGCCAACUUUAGGUGAAAAUUUCAAGAAAAAAGUGUGACGGUUGUCAAUUUUAGCAAAACAAUCUAAGGGCGAUAACUCUAAUUGUAGUUCUCUCCCUUGAAAUGUAUUAUUUAAAUGUAAGCUGAUUUGACUGCAAAAGCAACAAGUUGAGAUGUGUAAGUACUCACAGAUCAAGUCAUAUCAGAUGUGGGGGCGUUCGCCGUUGUAGCGAAAUAAUCAAUGAAAUAAGUAGCAGACUAGGGUUGAUUUGUUUGAUAAAGCUUUUCAAGGCAGUAUCCCCAGCAUGGCAGUGUUAUUUCCAGAUCCCUUUCAGUUAUCUACUUUGCUAAUUUUACCCAGAAAGAAAUGAAAUAGAAUUUUUAAAAAGGCCAAAAAUAUUUGUUUCAAUUUGAUAUUUAUUUAAUUACUUAAAUGAGAUAUAGGCAAUAAUUUCCUUUUUCAUUUUACAACAGCUGUCUUUUACCAAGAACUUUUUUGUUGCCGUCAUUUCUUUGAAUUUCAUUUUGUUGGUUUAUACUUAGGAAAACUGAUGCAUGUUCAGUUAGUUAUAAAUUAUGCAUAAAAAAUCUUGUUGGUAAAUAUAAAAUUCACUGAUAAACUAAAAGACCUGAGUUUCUUUUAUAUGUUUAGCUUGGUUUUUCUCAACCCAUUUUAUAUUUUUGUUAAGUCAAAAAUUGUUAGAUUUAUGCUGCAGAGUAUUUUUUCAGUGUUUUGAAAAUCAAAUUUUAUUGUCUUUUACCUUAGAAAUUAUGUUUUGAGAUUGAAAUAUUUUCUAUAAAAAUAUUGUUUCAAAUCUAUUUGCCUUUCCUAUUUUACUGCAUUAAUUGAGAAAAUGAGGAAAAUGUUAUCGAAGUUUUGUUAAUUUUUGUUGUGACUUUCUUUAUGGCCAAAGUGAAAAUAAUCUCUGAGAAAAUAUGUAGAAACUAUAAAGGAAAUGCUAGAAUAUAUUUUCAUUGAUUACCCCCCUCCCAUGAAAUCAUUUUUGGAUGGUGGAAUAUACACCACCAUCUGGAUCCUUUUUCUUUACCAUGGUUCUUUCAUAAUGUUCAAGCUCGCUAAUGAAUUGGAAGCCAUUCAAUGGAUCUACACUAAGAAUAUGGCUUCACUGUUCCAUAUGAAUUGCAAGGCAGGUUGAAAGUUUUAAAACUUUAUUCUCUCAAGGAAACAGACACCCACAAUACUGCUUUACAUAGAAAAAUUGGAAUGAUUGUUAUGUAAUUCAGCAUUGCCAGUUGUUUCCACUCUACCACUGAUUACUACUGUGAAGUGCCAAAGGUUCUGCUCUCUGUCCAUAAACUACAUACUGCAAUUUACAUACACACGUAUAUGCCUGCACCGGUGCACACACGCACGCAUACACACACACACACACCUUAAAAUUAAUUGCUAUUUUGCGAUGGACAAGUAAAUAUUUUUGGGUUACUGUGAAGUGUUAUGAAACUUAGUAUGUUAUGAAACUUAGUACGUUAUGAAACUUAGUACAUUUAAAUAUGAGAUCUCCCAGCUGCAUUUUAAAAAUAUUUUCACUGGUUUUAGUAAUAUUCAAUUUAUUCAUAAAGGCAGUGAUGGCUAUGCAACUGGGCUAGAGACAGUAACAGUUGAUUAAAGACUAACAAAGAGGUCAAGAAUGUAAGUGUAUCGUGAGUGAUACAAUAAAACUAACUGUUCAGGAAGAUGCGUAUGUGUGUGUAUAUUGUAUAUUAAAGAUUACUUGUAACCCUUCCCAAAUGGUUCUGCAGUUUGUACAGAAUAUUCCUGAAAUUGCUAUCAAAUGGUAAUUUAUUCUUGAAUUUGAGUAAGGAAGCUCCUGUAUAGAUUGUUCCAUUCCCUCAAGAAGUUAAUAGCAUCCACAAUUUUAUUCUCUGCCACCAUUUUUAUUCUUUGUGGCCAUCAUGUUAAUGUUUUGCUGUUUGAAACCAGUUUUGUUAGCAGAUUUUUCCAUGAUAGAAAGAGGGGAAACUAAAAGGAGGUUGGUUUCCAUUGACCGGCAAUGUGUUAAGAUCUAGUAGGAAAGAACUGGAUUUGAGAUUUUCUCUUUGAUUCAGCCCUCUUACAUUCUUUAUAGGAGAGCAUGGAACAGCAGGAAAAAUAAAAAGAUGAUGAUAAUGAUGAUUUCCAGUGGAAAAAAGUUCAAUAUUUUACAAUGUAAAAUAUAUAAAUAAAAGCUAAUGGCAAUAGAGAAGACUAGGUGGAACAUUUUAAAACAAAAUUGGGAAAAUUGAGAGGAUUGACACUCUAAAAUAUCUACAAAACAAUUCUUUAUCAUCGUUGUCCUUGCCAUCUUGACUGAGACGUGUUUUACCCAGCUGCACUUGAAAUCUCUAACUCCAUUAGCUCUGUUGUUGGUCUUUGUCAAUAAAAUUAAUGUAGUUAAGUGGUCUUCAUCUUCUGUUAGGAUAUAAACAUCUUUAAAAUAUAAAAUUAGAUAUGGCUUGGUCUGUGGUACAAUAGCAGUGGCUAGUAAAGCCAACUCUGCAUUGAGCAAUAAUACUAGAGAUGGUUGGAAUAUGUCCAUAAAUCUUCUCUUUUGUUUUGUGCUCUUGUCAGAUGUUUUAUGUUUUUAUGAGAAUCUUGAUGUAUGUACCAUGAAGGUGGUCUUGAAGUUCUUCUUCCACAGUCCAUAUUUCAGCUCUAUAAAGGAUGCUCCUUAUACAUACUCUGAAGAAGGCCAGCUUUGUUGACUUUGAAAUACUAAGUGUAGGUUCAGUCCACUGUACAACAAAUUAGGCAAAUAAGUGUUUUCCACUGAGAUUCUGGGUUUAUCAUGCCCUGUGAAUUAAUUUGAGCAGUGCAAGGUGUGUGGAAGCCGUGUGUGUGGUUUGUGCUUGAAUGUCAUUGUCUGAGGGAAAUGGUGAUAUGAUGUUUACAUCUGUUGACAUUGUCACCAGUUGCUCUGCUUUUGAAAUCUUGUGGAAUUAAAUAUCUCCCUUUUGAAAAACUGGUAAGGGUUGGUGGCAGCAAGAAUAUCUGACUAUAAAAUCUUGCAUCAGACAAAUCUUCAUCCAACCAUGGAAAAAUGGAUAUUAAAUGAAUGUCUGACUGAACUCACACGCACAUGCGUGUGAAGUGUGCACUGCUAAAUUUCUUGAACUACACACUCUACUAGCCAAUUGAUACUGCUACAUCUUCUAGUAAAUAGUUAUAUUUAUAAUGAUAUGUAAUAUAAAUAUAAAGCUACAGAUUUUUGUGGAGGGCACCUUUGGUUAAGUCAACCUUGAUAUUUGAUAGAUAUUCUAUCCCCUGUACAAGAAGAGUGUAAAAGCAUUUGACUGUGAUAGGAGUGGAACUUUAUUUUAUAGAGACAUUAAUGUCACAAGGCAUUUUGUUUGGCACUCUACUGAUUCUGCCACUCAGUGGACUAUAAAUAAUAACAACCACACACAGAUUCAUAACUAGUCAGUAAGGAACUGGUAUAGCUAUUUUUGAGACACUUAAGUAUUAUUAGAUGAACCAACAUGUUUCUGUAGGUCUCCCCACCCCUCUCCUUUUUUGAAAGAGUUUCUCUGGUUCUCUAUAAACUGAGUAGAUUGAUGGCCUGAUUUGAGGUUUUCUAAAUCUUUGAAGCAAUUAAAAACAUUCAUAUCAGUCAGCUAGUUACAAAAACAAACAAACAGAAAAAAAGACCUAACAAUAUGUGUAUGUGUGUAUAUAUAUAUGUUUAUGAAUUUGUGUUGCAAGAUUCCGGAUGUGAAACCGUGUGUUGAAACAGAUAUUGUUGUAUUUCGGGAUGGUCAUUUUUUCUUCUUCAAAUAAAUGCAUGCACUAUAUAUUUCUUCUUCACUCGUUUAUUACUGUUCUUAUUCUAACUCAUGUCCACCGUCCAGAAAUCUUUUGUCACACAUCUGUGACCUCUUCAGUGACACUUUCCAUCCUCGUGUGUGCUCCUGCUUUGCUUAGUUCAGUCAAUUCUUUUAUUACGUGUAUCGUUAUAUGUGCAUGCGUUUGCGUUUGUGUAUAUAUGUGUAUGUAUGUGUACAUAUGCAUGUCUAUGUGUUUCGCAUGUGUGCUUAUGUGUAUAUUUGGGCUUAAGCCCUUUAUAUUGUUGUCAUUCUUAAAGAAACAUAUCAUCAUUGUUCUUAGUAGCUCUAUGACCCUCCCCUCACCCACAUCUCCUCUCCUGUUGCUGCUGCUAUUGCCCUUGACCCUGACUUUUGGUACCAUUCCUGUAUCUCCCUACAUUUGUUUGUUCACCUACGUUAUUGCCAUCGUGGUAGUUGUUAUUUCUAUUGUCAUUGUUAUUGGUCAUGCUGUUGAUGUUGUUGCGGCUGUUUGUGAAGUUUAUGUAUGCUUGUGUGUGUAUAUGGGUUCACUUAUUAUUUUUGUAUCUGUGCCUUUUAUACAACUUUUUUUGUUUACCUAUUUAUCUACCUUAUAUUUGUCAUAGGUAUAUGCAUAUUUGUCUAUUGUGUGUGUAUUACUCUGUAUGUUUUUUUGUUUUCUCCCUUUUGUCUUUCGUUGUCAUGGUGUGGUGGUGAGUAUUAUUGUUCCAUUCAUGUUUUCUGUUGAGGCCCAGUCUAUCUAUUGCUAUGUGUGUAGCCUCUAUAAUCUAUUUGAGUGUCAUAUCAGUUCUAUAUGGGAGGCUUGGUUAAUAACAUAGAGGUUAAGGUGUUACCAACACAUAGAACUGACAUGACACUCAGGCAGGUUACAGAGGCGACACACAUAGGAAUAGACAGGCGGAGCCUCAACAGAAAACAUGAAUGGAACAAUAACACCUACCACCACCACACUAUGCAACAUGCCGACUAAAGACAGAAGGGAGAAAAGAACAAACAAAAACAUACAAACUGUGUAAUACACACACAAUAGACAAAUAUGCAUACACCUAUGAUAGAUAUAAGAAAUAGAGAUAAAUAGGUGAAAAAAAAAACUAUAAAGGGCACGGAUAAAAACUACAUAAUAAGCAAGUCCAUAUACACACACAAACACAGAAACAGCUCAUCAACAACUCGACUAAUGGCAACAACAACAACUACCAAGAUGGCAGCAGCGUGGGCAAACACACAAACACAGGGAGAUACAGGAAUGGUACCAAAAGUUGAGGCCAAGGGCAGCAGCGGGGGAAGGGACAUGGGUGAGGGGAGGAUCAUAGAGCUACUAAGAACAAUGACGAUAAUGAUGAUAAUAUAAAGGGCUUAAGCUCAUAUAUACACACAAGCGCACAUGCAAAACACAGACAUAAGUACACACUUGCGCAUGCACACACACAUAAAUACAGAUGCAAAUGCAUGCGCAUAUAAGGAUACACAUCAUAGAAGAACAGAAUGCACUAGGCAGAGCAGGAGCACACAUGGGGAUGGGAAGUGUCACUGAAGAGAUCACAGAUGUAUGACAAAAGAUUUCUGGACAAAGGACAUGAGUUAAAAUAAGAACAGUAAUUAAUAAGUGAAGAACAAAUAUAUAGCGUGUGUGUUUAUUUGGCAAAAAAAGAAAAAAAUGACCAUCCUGAAAUACAACAAAUAUAUAUAUAUAUAAACACACACACAGUUAAAAAAAAACAAAGAAAAAGACAAGGAAAAACACAGCAACAUGAGGACGUAGCACAUGCAAAUUCUUAAUAAGAUGCUCAGAGAAGGAAAAGAGUGGUUGUUUUACAUUCCAAGCAUAGCUCUUCUUUGGAAAUAGGAAACAUAGGAAAGGAAGAAGGAGGGAAAAAAAUCGCCAACAGUCCAUGUAUCGACUAUAUUAUGUUAUAUUAUAUAAAGGUGAAGCUGUUUCCUUUUUUGAAAUGUGUUCUGGUAAAUUCAGUUGGUAGAAGCAGUUAUAUGUUGGCUGUGUCAGUUUGGAAAUAAUGUCCUAGUAUUUGUAUAAAUUGUAUUGAUUUGAUUUUAAGAGAAUCAGCAGUUGAUAGAAUGUGUGGAAGCCUUUCUUGACUGGAAACCUGAAAUGAUUAUGUGAGAUUAAAGCAUAUGGAUUAAGAUUCAGUUGAGAAUAUUGCAAGUGAACAAUAAGAUAGCUUGUAUGCUUACAUUUUGAAUGUUUCUGGAUUACAUAUUGGAUGUUAUUAUUAUUUGCAGUAGUUAGCAGAAGCCCAGAUUGUCUUUCAUGCUCUGGUUCAAUAAAUUAUUAUUGUGGGAAAUUAUUUGGUCACUGUGCACCAUCAACUGACUUAUGUCUUAUGUUUGUAUUUCAUUUCCUGAAACACAUAACACUGCUGUUAACACCUCAUAUCUGAAGCUCCAUAGAUAAAGCCACCUUUUGUUAAGCUUUAAGCUAGCGGCAAUGUCAAAUAUUUUACUUUCUCUUGACAACUACCAUCCUUCAUUGAUAUUGUUGUUCACAGAAUUCUCAAAAUGUUGACAGUUAUUUAUUAACAGGGACAAAAUGUCCCUCUUUAUUAGCAUGUAGGCCUGCUGAUAAUGUCUUUUAUGGGUUUGGAUAGUCUCUGUUUCAAAUACAGAAAGGCAAAUUCAGCAGUGUGUGUGUCUACACUACCUCUAUGCCAUCUAACAUCUGUUUUACCAUACUUGCAUAGAUUAGAUAGAUCUGCUUUUGUACAUCUGUUAUUGUAUCAAUAAAGAUCUAGUAGUUGCAGUGUCUAUGUGUAUGCAGAAUUUUUCAAUGUGUGAAUAACUUUUGUGAUUUGAAUGAUUGUUAGAAAGUAGACAGAAUCAUAGCAGAGCUAUAGAUCUGUGACCUGACAUUAAUUCAUGUUUGGAAUGGAUUCAUUCCACUUCAAUAUUUGGUCUCAAUACCAUAAACUCUCUUGCUUUCUCUACCCAAAUUUCCUGCCUCUCUCUAUUCACCAUUCUUAUUUCUCCUAUUUUCUCUUCACUUAUCUUUUCUUAUAUACUUUUUUUUUAAUCUUGCAAGAGUUAACUUGAAUCUAUAGAUUUAAAUGAGUAUUUAAAUAAGUAUGUUUCUACAUUUCAUUGAUAAGAUUAGAUUCCCAACCUUAUUCUCUGUUUUUAUCUGUACAAUCUUCUCUUGUUUUCUUGUAUAUAAGUUUACAUCUCUUGAGAAUUUAGCUCUGAAAUCUUUAAUUCUCUAUUUUAUAUUUAGCUAAGUGACAUACUAAUUAAUUAAGAAAAUAAUUAAUUCAUUGAAAAAUAUGAAUAAAACUCAUCUUUAAAUGGAAUUAAUUACUUUAAUUCAUUAUUAUUAUUGUUAUUCUGGAAGACUCAUGGAUAGUUCUUAAUUACCAGUUAUUUGAUGUAAUUGUCUUACUCCCUUUUCUAAACUUGCUGGCUUUGUGCCAAAAUUUGAAACCUGUAUAUUAGUGGUAUUUAUUUUGUAGGGUUCAGUAGGUUGAAUCAGGAAAAAGGUCCAUUAUAAACUGAAAAUGGAUGCAGUUUCUUCUUUACUUUACAGAUGAGUAUUUAAGAAAUGGAAAUGUAUUUUUGUACUUGAUUCAUAACAUUUGUAAAUUUGCAGAACCAACCAACCAACCAACCAGCCCAUGUCAUACUUUUAUGUCUUUAAUUUACAUAAAGCUUGAGAAAUUUUAAAGAGAUGUAAAAGAUGUGUGUUGCUGUUCAUGCCUUUUCCAAAGAUAUGAGUAGCAUACAUGAAAUGUAAAGGUUCCAACUCAGAAUCAGUAUUGGAUAAUUUUUUUCUUUUUCAUAAAUGAACGAGUGGUGGGGUACGGUAUUUUUGUUUUUUGUUCUCUCAGAUUAGUGGCAUUGAUAUAACUUGUGGGUGGGAGAGGGCAAAUGGUAGGUCCGUGUGUAUGUCAUUUUAGGGUGUGGGGCUGAAAAAGUGAGGGAAAUGGGAGUAGGAUGGCAGAUUAAACUAAGCACCACAGUUCUGAAUGUUCUUGUGACACCUAUAUAAAGAAUUUUUACCCAAAGAUUGAAAUCUUGCUCUUUUUUAUUUUUUACCUGUCUUCCAUUUCUUGUUGGUUUUACUUUUAAGAAUUUCAUUGUUCUUUGUUAAGUUGCCUACUUUAACUUGCUACUGGAUCAUUUUGUAAACUUCUUUUUACUUUUAUUUGUCCCUUUAAGUGACUACAACCAACACCUCUCUCCUCUCUUGAUGCCAAUUGUUUAUUUUUUUUAAAACAUAUUUCUGCCUUUUUUGUUUUCUUUUCUAACUUUUCUUUUUUCGUCUUGUUUCUUUUUUUCUUGCUACUUUAUCAAUUUUUUUUUAUUCUUUCAUUUUUCCUUGUUUCUUUUUGUUAUUCCUUCUUGUGUUUUUGUGUGUGUCUCAGUUUUUCUAAAACUACUCACCAGGUAGUUGACCAUAUCUGCUACAUUACUGGGAAUUAUAUUACUUUUGUGUGUUUCCUGCAUUUCUCAAAGUGUCUUUCAAAUGAACUCUGUCCCUAUCCACACCCCUAUUUGUGAAAAAAUGAAAAGAACCCUCUUUCAUAGACAAAAAUCAAAUUUAUUAUUAGAUAGGGCAUGACUUAUUUCCCCUUCUUGGUACUAAUUACAUGCACAGCAUAUCAAGAAAAAUUCCUCAGGUAGGAAUUAUUCUUGUGAAUCUAUUUUUGCUCCACAGCUGAUGGUGAUUCUCUCCAAUCUGUAGCAAGCCUAAAAAAACAUCUGCCAUAUUGUUUCUAUUAUUUUUACAUUUAAAAAAAUGUUUCUUACAUAUGAUUUUUAGCUGUACACAUUAUAUAGGUUGGAUAGUUUUACAAAUUUAGAUGUUUCUCUGCAUUUAUUGCAGCAGAUGUUUCAUGGAUGAAUGCUGUUUUCAUCAAUGAACCACUUCAGCCAGCUAAGAGGCUACCAGCUUUAUUUCCCUUUUAACACAUUUCUUUCUUUAUCAAAUUCUCCUAUAUAUCUUAAUCAUACUUUAAACAAACCACAUGGUGAUAUUACUGUCUUAUUUAUUAUUUAUUUUCUUUAUUUAUCAUUAGCCUAUAAACUUUUAUAUAUAUUGUAGAAAUACUAUUAAUACACUUUCUUCAUUUGCUAUAUUUACUGCUUCAAACUCUCUACAGUAACUUUAAAUCCAUUGAAAUCCUUAGAAACCAAUGUACCAACAGGUAAAUUUUUUCUAAAUACUCCUGUAAUCUGUCAUUCAAGAAUGAGCUGGCAAAUUUAAUGUAUUUCAUUACAUAUUUAUUUCACUUUUCUCAGAAUCAUAAAGUUAAUGAUCUUACCUGAUUGGUUAAUAUAUUAUUGCCACUAACAGUGAAGUUAAUUUCAUGAUCUUCCUCUCCACACCACUAAUGAUUUUUUAGACUGAUAAUCUCAUCUAAUUCAUCAUGACUCAUAUUGCUAUACUAUAACAUCUAAUAGACCAUUUCUUACAUGCAAAUACUGCCAUACACAUUUAUUCUUCCAAAGAAUAAAUAUCACCAUUAUACCCACCACAUCACUGCUGUCACUCUUGUUCUUGUGUCCAUUUUCCUGUGCUUGCAAGGUUAGACUAAAUUUGUUGAGAUAGACUUUCUAUGGUUGGAUGCUUGUUUUAUUGUCAACCUUCACUUGUUUUUGAGUCAGGUAAUAUUUCCCCCUGGUCCUUUCAAACAAUGACUGGCUCAAAGGCCAGACGUCAUUUGUAUGACUGGUGGUUUCGUUUUCAAUAUGUGUGCAACUGCGAAGAGAGAUAACACACACGCCCACCCCCACAAUGUCCUUCAUACAAUUUCUGUCUGUCAAAUUUCACUCACAGGACCCUAGCCUGUAGAUACAGUAGAAGACAUCAGCUGACUAUGUUCACACACAUUGGGAAUAAACCUCCAAGCACAUUUUCUGAAGUGAACUUUUUAACUACUCACUCGCUCUCUCUCUCUUUCUCUCUCUCUCUCAUUCUCUCUCUCUCUCUCACGCGUGCGCGCACGCUCAUGUUCUGCAUAAUUUCUGUCUACUAAAUUUUACAAGGCAUUGGUCAUGUAGUAAAAACUGUUUUGUUUGGCGGCUUAUAGGUAAUGAAAACUAAACUAAUUUAAAACAAGUUCUCUCAUUGGUUGAAAAUCUUUCAGCCAAAAUCAUUCUAGGUUUUUGCCAGAAUUCUUCUAAAUGAUAUUUCGGAACGCUUCAAGAAACUUCCAUGGGAAGUUAUAAAAGCCAGGAUUUUUUCCCAAUUUUAGUUAGCAGAUAGCAUGCCUUCUGGAAGCUAUGCCACUCUCAAACUCAUAUACAACACUCUUUACAGUUUGACGUUCUUGCACUAAUGAUAUAAGAGAUUAUACUUCUCAAUAAUGACCUUAAGUCAUAAACCUAACUCUUUCUGUAGUGUAGUUCCGAUGGACUAGAUUAGUAAUUCCUGUCACUUCUUGACAGAUAAACUUUCAGACAAAAAACAACAAAAAAAAUACUAGAAAAUAACAUUCUUAUACGAUAUGUUAGCAGUUUCGUUUCAUUGACAAAGGGAGAUUACUCCCGAUGUAUUUAUAUGUAAUUUAUAUGUAUAUCCGUGAAAUAAAAAGAUUCGACUGAAACUAUCUUUGUAAUUGAUCUUUUCUACACUUUUCCACAAAAAUGUAUUUGACUAUUCUUGUCAUUCUACCAACAGCAAGUUGCAAAAAGAAAUGGGUUUAACUGGAAGACACAUACACAUCACACACAACAUAUUUAGUCAACUCAAUUAUAUUAUAUCCGAUGGAUACAUCAAACCACUGAAUCUAUACGAAGACAAAAAAUAGAAGUCAAACUAAAGCAUAAGUCAAUCUGAUAUGAUGGUAAAAAGCACUUGCCCAAAGUGCUGCAUUCCGGGAUUGAACCCAGAGCUGUGUAGUUUCAAAGUGAAUUUCUUAACUUCACAGCCAUUAAAAACUACACCCAUUAAAAACUAAUAUUUUGUACAGUCUGUGUUAUUUGUAGUUUAUAUGAUUGAGCAAUGUUAUUUAGAUAGAUCUUUGUUUAAACUCACCCCACCAACCCAUAAUUGUUACUCUAUGAAAUGUAGUACCGAGUGGAUAGUUCUGAAAAUUGAAAUCCCUUCCAUUUUCAGUGAAUUUGCUAAAGAUAAUUAUAACAAUGGAUCUUGUCAUGGUACAACUACAUCACUUAUGACCACCACUCCUGCCUUAACCCUACUACAAUGUUAAAUUGUACUUGAGAAGCUCAAGUGUGCUUUUCAGAAAUAUAUACCAGUUGUGUGCAAAAUUAAUAAUAAUAAUAAUAAUAAUAAUAAUAAUAAUACAGUAUUAGUUCAUUUCCAGUAUGGAAACACUUAAGAAAUUUGCUCUUUGCUGUUAUUGUCAUAUAUUUUGGUUACUUACUUCAAAUAUCUGUCUUAGAUUCCAUUAUUAAACUCUUCCUGUGUUAGUUUUUUGACACCAACAGUAAUUUAGCUACAUCAUGAUGUUUUAUUUUUAAUGUAAAUUUUGCACAUUGAAAUUGAUAAAGCUUUUAAGCGGUGUUGUCUCGCCACCACCACUUUCCUGCUUUUAAACUGAUGUCAAACCUCAAACAGGAUCUUCUUUUAUUGACACUGUAGUUCUAGUUUGAAUAUGAUACGAGCUAAAUCUGGCAGAUCACUUAAAAACUGAAACUAAGUUUGAUUGCAUUACUUUUGCAGAUGCUAGUUAGUGAUUGUUGUUGCUAGUGUGGUGACGUAUAUUAAUUGCUGUGCAGCUUUUUCUUACUCUGUGGCUGAUGGUAACACUCAGAACAAUGUAAUAAUUUUUUUUAUUGUUAAUGAGUUGAUUCUAUCUCUUAUUCACAGGGAGCUUACUAAACUGAACCCUUCAAAUUGUAAAUCAUUGUUAUCAAUGAAUUAACACUUUCAAAACUAUAAUAUGCAGCAGUAAUGAAAAGGAUAUCAAACUAUAAAUCCUCUUGAUAAGUGACAAGUGAUAUUUGAAGUCAGUUUGCCCCCCCCCCCCUCUCACGCACACAUACACACUCACUCACUCUCCCCUCUCUCUCCUCCCCUCUCCCCCCUCUCUCCCUCUCCCCCUCUCCCUGAAACUGAGUUUUUGGCAGGUGUUGCUAAGCUGCUUGCAGUUGAACAGCUUUUCUUCAACAGUUUGAAAAAAAUAAAUCUUUAUCUCUGAUAAUUGAUAUUUCAACACUGUUGUUAAAUGUCAUUUAAAAAAUGUUGUUGCUUUUAAGAUGUGAAACCUCUUUAUGCUAAUAGAAGAAUUUAUGUUUGAAAUGAAAAUGCCUCAUUGCAAACUAAAAUAUUUUUGAAUUCUGCUAUAUUUUUUAUUAUCACUGAAUGAAUUUAGUCCAAGGUGACCUGGCAUAAAUUCUCUAUGAUAUUAAUAUGGUUCUUAUUUAUAAAAAUUAAAGAGCUGUAUUGCUUUGAAACCAGAAAAGCAUUUGAAUUAAACAAUAUAUCUGUUUGUAAUUAUAAAUAAGAAACACAAUUAGAUAUUGAGCUAUUUCUACAUAAAGAUUGCUGUAGCAUAUCAUAGCAUAUCACUCUGUGGAGAUUAUUACAACAGCAAUAUUCCUGUUCUGCUUGAAAUGAAUAGCAAAACCUUAAUAAUUCUAAUUUGAAUAUAUUUUGGAGGUUUGUUUUCAAAGGCUUUGACACAGCUGUUAUCCCAUCUCAAUCAUAUUACACAACUAACUCUUAUUUACCAUGAUGUCUACUUCCUGACUUCAUUUUAAAAUUUAUACCAUAGUAUUUUAAUUAUAUUUUAGGUGAAUUUUGACAUACUUAUGUAUGCUCUCUAAUAAUUUUCUACUUAUUUCAAACAGAAAACAUUCUUCAAGCAUGGGCGCCCUUAAGUAUGAACAUGACAAAAAAGGAUCUUCGCUUUCUUUUCUUGCAUGAGUUCAAGCUUGGGCACAAUGCUUCCCAAACUGCUGCUAAUAUCAACAGAGCAUGGGGAGAGGGGUCCACAAGUGAUUGCAUAGUACAAAAGUGGUUUCAGAAAUUCUGUAGUGGUGAUGAGAGUCUUGAUGAGGAAGAAGGUAGAAGACAGUCAUGCAGUCUUGACAAUGAGCAAUUGAAAGCAAUUGUUGAACAAAACUCACAUCAGAGUGUCAGAAAAAUGUCUCAGGUACUUAGUGUUGGUAUUGCAAUGGUCUCAUGCAACCUGCAGAAGAUUGGUAAGGUGAAAAAGCUCGAUAAAUGGGUACUGCAUGAGCUCAAUAAAAAUCAAAAAGUUUGGCGUUUUGAAGUGUGUUCAAUGCUCUUUCUGCAAAACAUUAAUGAUCCUUUUCUUGACUGAAUAGUCACUUGUGACAAAAGGUGGAUCCUUUAUGAUAGCCAUAAACAAUCACAUCAAUGGCUUGAUUGUGAUGAGUUCCCCAAACAUUUCCCUUAGCCAAAGUUGCAUCAUCUUUGCUUUGGGAAAUGUUUGGGGGACUCACCAUAAUCUUAUGGUGACUGUCUAAUGGUGUGCAAUUGGUGUUGUCCAUUACAGCUUUCUGGAAGCCAAUCAGAGCAUUACAGCAGAGGUUUACUGCAAUCAGCUUGCUGAAAUGCAUGCUCACUUGCAAAAAAUGAGACUUGCAUUGGUGAAUUUGCAUGGCUCAGUUCUGCUCCAUGAUAAUGCAAAGCCACAUGUUGCAAGAAUGACGCUGCAGAAACUCAAAGACAUGGGAUACAAGACUUUACCACAUCCUCCAUAUUCUCCUGAUCUUUCACCCACUGACUACCAUUUUUUAAAGCAUUUAAACACAUUUUUAAGUGAUAAAACUUUCAGGUCCAAACCAUAGGUGGAAUCAGCUUUCAAAGAUUUCUUAGCAUCAAAGCCAAUAAGUUUUUAUCACCGGGACAUAAAUAAUCUCGUUGAUCGAUGGCAGAGAUACAUAGAUGUUCACGGUUCAUACUUUGGCUAAUCAAAACAUUUCUAUUGUUAAUUUUUCCAGAAUUAAAUUAUGUUUCUGAAAUCGGCCAUUAUUUUUGGAACAACCUAAUAGUUUAAAAUCUAAACUUUAGAUGAUACAAGAUAGUGACAACUGUUUGAUGUGCACGUUUUUUUUUUUUAUUAUCACAUUACCAGUUUGUAAAAAGAAAGAAAAAACAAAAAAAGGCUAUGUUAGAAAAUGGCGAUAAAUGUGAAUUAUUAAACUGUAAAUGUUUAAACUUUUGGCAUUCUGAUUACUCUGUCAAAUGUAAGGCUUAUUUAUUCAUGCUGUUUUGAAUUAAUUGUGCAUUAUCUCAGCUUUGAGAUUUCCAUCAUGAGUUCAAGCUCAAGACAUUGUAAAGUAGGUAUGAGAGGCUGAAUCUUGCCAGUUUGAGCAUAAAACAGGUAGAAUAUUUGAGCUGGAUAUGGCUGGUUUAAAUGUUAUAAUGUUAAAUAUUUUAAAUUGGAAAUAUAUUUUAUAAUGUUAUGUUAAAUAUUUUAAAAUAGAAAUAUAUUUUAUUUUGCAGGUAUUUCUGGGAAGGAGAAGUCUUUGAUUAUUUGGUAAGUUUUGUCUUUUUCUAGUUAAAAAUAGCAAAUUUUAGUUUUUUUCACCUUAGUUUGGCCUGAAUGUUUCUAAAAACUGAAGCAGUUCUUUAUUACAGGUGUUUUUUUUUAUGUUGUACGAUCUUCCUCCUUCCUACAAUUAUUACUUUUACAUGCGACAUUAACUUUAUUAAAUGAUGAAAGAGCAGUCAAGAUUUUUAAUGUUAGACAUGAUUCACACCAAUUUGAAAUGGAGAAGCCCCUUGAUAUGAUUUGAACUUCAUAUCUCUCACUUACUGAUUGACCAUGUUACCAAUUGAACCACACAGCAAUGCCAUCUGCUUCAAUGAAGUUCUUUAAUUUGUUUCUGUUAUUUGAACUGUUCUGUUAAAUUAGCAGAAAUACCAAAUGAUAGACACAUGGUUUAAGUAUUAGCAUCAGUGAGCUUCUUUCUCUUUUCUCAAAUUGAUGUUACUAGUGUUUAAUAUCUCUGAUUUCAUCUCUUAUCUUCAUAUCUACUUUAAUCUAGCUGCACUGAUGAUCAUAUCAUAAUAUUUCUUUUACAUAACACAUUAGCAUCACUCUUCAUUAACAUUAGUGGUUUUGUUUGUUGUUUUACAUUAAAAUACAACCAGCAAUUCAUAGGACUACUUCCAUCUGCAGUUCCACAGCCUGUAGCCAUCUACGGUUGCCUCUCAAUCUGACUUUGAUUUAAUCAGAUGAUAAAACUUGUUUUUUAUUUACCAGUUCUUUUUCUUUUAUCUAUUCUACUAAAAUUAUUGGAUAUUUCAAGGUACCCAUGACUGUACUAUUUGUUGGUUCAAGCAAAGUUACCCCUUUGUAGGCCAGCGAGGUUGGAAUUACACAAAAGGCCAUUGGUGUCCCGAGAGAUCCCCUUUUAUUUUUGCUAAUUUCUGCACUAUCCAUAAAGUAAUAUUUGUUUAAUCUUGUAUAUAUCUGUGAGUGCAUAAUACAGAACUAGAAAUUUAGCACUUGAUAUGUAUAUGUUUGUAAUUAUUUGAGUUUAAUGGAGGGGAAUUAAGAUAUAAUUUAUUGACUGAAAAAAUCCUUUAUUGAAAAGUAUUAACAUUUUAAAAAUAGUUUUAUAAACUAUACAUAUAGCACUAAAUAUAAAAUAAAACAAAAUUAUUUAGUAUAUCGAUUCAUACUAGUACAAAUACGAAGAAAAUUGACUUAUAGUUCAUCGGAAUAUCUGAAAAAAUAACAGAAAAAUAAUUUCACUCUAUGAUACCUGGGUUCCAGUUGGACCCAAGAUAUCAUAUUUUAUGCUUUAGCAUCCAUAUAACUGGAAACUUUUAACUCAAAAUUUGUAUGUGUAUACAUAAGCUUUUGACAAUACAAGUCAUGAAAUAUAAAAUUAUUUAGAUAAAAAAAUGUAAAAGUUGUGUAACUUUCAAAAUUUGUUGGGGUCCCAAGGGAGCCUGCUGGUCCACAAAGGGUUCAUUCUAUGUUGGAGAAGGAAGCCCCUCUUAUUUUUUUUCUUUUGGUUCUUUUAUAUGAAUUGGUUGGAGGAAGAAGCAAUGCUUUUUGCUGUUGUAAAGGCACCAUAUUUUCUUAAUUUAUUCUAAUCUUUUACCUGGCCACUUGGCCAAACUGUUCAUGGUAUCUCCAAUAUUUACAUUAAAGAUCAAGUAAAAGCCUACAAGAUUUAGUUUCGUCACAACGUACCAAUUUGAUUUUAGCAUCAUCUAGCAAAUGGAACUAAGAUAUGCAAAAGUCCUCUGUAGUUCUGAUUUCAGUGCAUGUAUUUUGGUCAGAAAUAUAGUAAUUGAAAGGGUUAAAUGUUAAUUGUUUCUGUAUAUUUAGUUGUUUUGAAUUCAAACAAUUUCUGAAUCUAAAGAAAAUGUUCCUAUCUUUUAAAUGAUGUAAGUUUAAACACAAGAAUUUUUAUUUAGCUUAAUGCAGUUAUCACUAAUGUCACAAAACUACAUGUCACUUAAUUUUAGAAUAUUUAAAGCAUAGAUUUAGUUUUCAACAAAAUGGAAUGUGUCCCUUCCAUUUUAUAGAAAUUAGUGGAGUAUCUGAAAUUUCUUUGUCACAUCUAUGAUUUUAAAAUUUUGAUCAUGUUUGAAAGUUCUUUGCAAUUUUUAGAGCCAUAAUUAUACUUUUAAUUGAACUCCCUAGAUUUUGUUUUUCAAUACUCAUGUUGAACCAAUAGCUUACAGGUUCAAACUAUGUUUAGAGCCAAUUAUAUUGACUUUCAGCAAGUUACACAUUAUUUUGCUUAUCUCAGCACGAAUCAUUUGAAAAUGCCCCGCCCCACUUUUGUAGGUUAAAGCUGGAAGAUCAGUUGUUGAAUUAUCAGAACACUUGCUGUUUCAAUUCAUGAAUAAAUAAAAAAAAUGAAUCCUUUAUGAGGUUGUUAGUGCCAUUAGCUAGGAACAUCAAAGAAGACUUGGAAAAAGAAUUUCUCUCUGCAUCUAAUUUAAUAGCAAAUCAAUUCCAAUAUUGCAGUGAACCCUCUAAAAAUAUAUAUUUUAUUCUGUAAGGUGUAUUUCGUAACUUUUCUAUGUAUUUAUUUUUUAAACAAAAUGUCAAAAUUGAAUCAAAUAGGUUGAAUAAAUAUAUUGAACUGAAAAUAUGUCUAUGAGUCAGAGGAAAAUGUGUUAUCAUCUAUAAGACUAGUUUUGAUUCUUAGUUGAUGUGGUUUUAUGCAUUUUGCCAAAAUUGUUUCAGUAAGUUAUGAAUACCAUAGUUUUCCAUUUCUCCUCUGAUAUAUCUGACUCUUGAUUAUGUUUGUUAAAUAAAUACCAUGCAUGUACACUCAGCCCAGGUAAGUUAUGUAACUUUUAUAAACGGGAGAUUCUAUAUUGCAUAUUAAGUGACCUACAUCAAGCUGUGUGUCAUCAGCUAUUCUGAUGAUUAAUUACAUUUUUGUUGUUCUUGGUGCUGCUACCUGGCAUUAAAUUUAGUUGAAACAGAGCCUGUGUCUUGCAUAUUAUUUUUAUGCAUUAAUUAAAAGCUCUUCACUUAAAACAAAUAUUACAGUUUUCUGUCAAGGAGACAUAUGUAGGCUAAAAGAGGUAUACACAACAGUUCGGUGUCACAAAACACAUGAUAUAGCUUAAUGUAUGCAGCCCAAAAUAGAGUUUCUCUUCCUUUUCCCAAGGUGAUCUAAUUGAAAUAUUAGUUACUAAAUAUUAUAUUUAAUGUAUUUUCAAUAAAAUUUAAUCACUACAUUAUUUUCAUUGAGUACUGUUUAGUGAACUCUAUAAAAUCUGUUCUAUUUCUAUUUAAAUGGUAACAAUAUCCUUUAGAAACUAUUUUUUAAUCCCUAGCAGGUUUAUGUUUACAUAAGCAGGUACUGCAGAAAUAAAAAGAUGAACAAUUAUUUGGUUUGUCUAGAAAUAACUGUUGAGUACUUUUCUUGCAGUUGUUUUCUUUUUGUAAUAGAUCCCUAGCUUCACAUCCUUUCAAACUAGAAACCCAAUUCCCUCCAAUUUUUAUUUUUUAUUUUUAUUUUAAUGAAUACAGUUUUCAUACAAGUCUUAGAUACUAUUUUCAGGUUUUCACUACAUUUACUGGGAUCUGUACUUAAAGCUGGUUAUAGCAACUAGCUGAGUAAAUAUACUGUUUAUCUUUGUACAGUUCCUUCCUUUAGUAGAACUUCCCUUUAACUGUUUGCUUUUUUAAUGGAAUUACUCUUGAAUAGAGCUUUUAGAAAUGGAUUUAUUUGAUCUUCUGCUUAGAAUCUUUGCUUAAUCUGCUGUGCUGUGCUCCCAGCAGCAACAAAGUCCUAGUUUCUUUAAUCAUUCAACUACAAAGCUCCUUACUGUUGAAUUCAAGCUGUCACUGUUUACUCCAAUAUUCAUCAACUUGCUUCAUUUGAUUUUGCUUCUUAGGUUUUUGAUUCAAAUCCACUCUUCUAGGCUUUGGCUGCAAUUUUCAACAUAUUUUAUUGAGAAUCUGGUUACCAUUUUUUGUGAUUUCCCUAAGAAUAGGAAAAAUAGGAUGUCUGCUAGAUCCAUCUCUGUUAAUUUUCUCCUAAAUUUUACUUCCUUACCCAUCUUCUGAAAACGCUCUCUUCUGCACUGUCUCUGUUACACAUGCACAUACACAUAGUCAUUUUUGCCUCAGAUGUGUGUACACACUUUAAAUGGGAGAUUAAUCAUCAGAAAAUCAUAAUGUUAAUGAUAAUUGUGAACAUAGACUUUUAUUAGAAAUUUAAGGGGGCGGUGAAGUUAAAGGCCUUAGUUAGAAAUUUAAGGGAACGGGAUCAAGUUAAUUAAGCUUUAUCAGUAAUUGACUGGUACUUUAUUUUAUUGAUCCUAAAAAAUAAAAGACCAAGUUGGCCUCAAAUUUGAUUUCAGAAUACAAAGAGCUGGAAUGAUUCUGUCAAUGUAAGACUAAUGAUUCUACCAUUCGCUGUCAAUCUUCCUUCAAAAAUUUAAUAAAUUUCAGAUCUUUGUCGUCUUUCUUUCUCUCAUUCUCUCCUUAGUGUACUUUUCUCUAUCAGUGAGUGUUAUUAUUCUCAGUUAUAAUACUCACUAUUAUACUUCAUCUAUUUACUGUCACCUCUCUCUUACUUACACAUUUCAUACUUGUUUAAAUUCACCAUUCCAAAUCACUAAUUAAAAUACUUAGCUGACCAUUUGAUAAAUUAUUUUGUCCAUCAAAUAAACAUUUUACUUCAGUUUUACUUCCUGCUUUUCUUAUCCAACCAAAUACUCCUUGAAGAUAUUUUACACUUAAAUAUCUAAAUUAACUGAAUUUUACCACCAUUGUAUGAAAUGGAGAAGACAUUUUACCUUCAUAAAAAAGAGUAUCUGCUUUGAUUGAUGAGGACUGCCAACUACUUAUAAUUUAUCCCUCAUCACCACCCUCCCUGCUUACAUUAAUUCAAUGAUUCUCAAUUGGUCUCCUAAUUAUUUGUGGAAUUCCCCACUUCAUCAUCUUUAUUAAUGAGAAAACAAAAUACAGUCAACAUCCAUAUAAUUCUUCAUUUUUUACCAGAAUGUUAAGCAAGUUCAAAAUUCUGUUUUAAUUUUAUUAAACAUGGUGAUUUGUCUGCCCAUGUUUCAAUCCUUACAGCCUCUCUCUGCAGAGACCUUCCCCCCAACCACCGUUAAUGAGAAAUAUUAGAUUAGUUGGAUCUACAAGUCCUGAUGGUUGCAAAGAUUAUUCUACAAAUGAAUUUUUUUUUUAAUGCUAACUAUUUAUGAAGCUAUUUGGUGUGAAGAUGUGCUGUCUGUGAAUGGUCCAUUGUCAGAUGUUUUCUCUCUCGUCUUUAUAUAAAUCUUCAACUAGAAACCUCUUUAACUAUAUUUUUGCUAUAUAUUUUGUUCUCAACAAAUAUUAUUUUUAACUUUCUUGAUAAGAACUUCAUUCAAAACUGCAAUCUUUCAUAAUGGCCACUCAGUUCAGUUUUGAGUUGCAAUGUUAAAAACAAAAAGAAGUUUACAGAAAUCUUCAAUCACUUUCAUGCCAAGUUUGUAUUGGCAACUGCUGUUUGGAGUUCAGAAAGAGACUGUUUAAAGGAGAUUGGAGUACAGAUGUCAAGUUUAUUUAAUAUAUUUGCAUUUCAUUAUAUUUAUAAAACUCCUAGACAUUGUUUAGUGGCAAUUUUGUAAAAAAAAAAAAAAAAAAAAUGCUCUGUGGUUGAAGAUUCAAUCUUUGUAAAAAACCUUGUAGUCAUUCAGUACACAAGGUGUGUUUAAUAAGCUAUGAACUAGUUUAUUAUACAGCUCAGCUGCUUUUACAAAAAAUGUAUUUGUAUUAAUUCAAACAUAAAAGAUGGUAAUAAAUUAUUGUUUGUAUUGAACAUAUUCAGUAGAAUUGCAUACUCAGGCACUUGAAAAUUUUAGUUUUUGCUACUAUAUCUAAGAAUUUUGGAAAAUAUUGAUUAAAAAAAAAAGAGUUUAUUCAAAAUAUAACGUCUUUCUUGGCUUUAUCUUGUCUGUGAACCUCUGUACUCUCAAGUCUUGUCUUCACAAUUUCUUUCAGUCUAUUUCUCCCAUUUUUGUUUUCUGCUAGAAUACACCGGGGUCUAGGACAGUUGCGUACUGGACAUUUGCGCCCCAGACAACUGCAUACCAGAUAAUUGUGUCCCUGGACAUUUACAUCCCUAGACAAAUGUGUUCUUGGACAAUUGUGUCUCUCUAUUAUUUUGAAAUAUUAACUAUUUUUUUUCAGGUAUAUUUUUUGUUUGUAAUUGUAAAAAAAACACAUUUAGUAACCCUAAAGAAGGGAGUAGGUAAUAAUAAAUAUUUAAAAAAAGGAAUAAAAGAAAUAAAAGUGUUUAAAAUUUACAAGUUUAUUUUUGUUUAAAAAACGUAAACAGAUUAGCAAUAUUUUAAAAAUAUUUCAAGAUUUUAAAAUUAUUGUAGUUUCACAAAUAAAUCAAAAGGUGUGAUAUUGUGAGCUAUUCCUUUAAAAAAAUUUAUCUUGUUUUCAGGAGUAUACUUAUCUAAUAAUGCCAUGUUUCUCUUAGUUGCAUUUUUAUUUUAUUACCGUACUAGAAUUUCUCUUUGAAAGUCCCUUUUUUUUUCUUAAAGACAAUAACCUCCUCCUUUUUCAGUGUCGCAGUCAGUUUCCAAAUAGUGGGGGUGUUGACAUGAUGAAUAUUGCAAAGCCUUGUGCAAUCCCUCUAAGCUGUUAUUAGAUUUAGGCAACUAAUUUAUAACUCUUUCUCAAAUAUUCCAAGACUCAACAGAAAAAAAUUGGUUUCAUUCUUAUCCUUCUCUGGUCUGUUGCUUGGCCAAUGUAUGUCAUUUCAAAGUAGGUGGUAAAUUCUGGAGGCAAAUCACAAUUGUCAGACAAGGUGAUAAAACCAUCGACAAUGUCAAUUAAAGGAAGAAAUGAUAAUGCAGAAAAACAUCUAAUUUUCAAAUUGAAUACUUCAGCUUCUCUAUACCAUUGUUUUAAUCCUAGGUCACAGAUUUUCUUAAAAAUAGACUUAGAUAAAUGAAAACGACACGAACUUAUUGUUACAUCUAGUAACUUUUUUUUUACAAAACCUUUCUGAGCUCCUAUUUCAAAGUCUAUCAACAAAGAUUUUGGAUUAAGUUGUGGUUUAAGUUGCAACAAAUAUGUGAAUAGAUGAACAUGUGUUUCCUUUGUCUUACCUGGAAGAAAGGCAAAAAUUCUGGGAAUACUAAAUGUACCUUCUUGGAUAUGGAUACAAUAUAGCUAAUAAUAUAUUGAUGGACUGACUUUAAAGUUACCAUCUACUGGCCAGUUAGGAAAAUUUAUCAAGCCAUCUUCCAUAGCAAAUAUUAGUAUUCUAGUCUUGUCAUUGAUACCAGAAUCAAAUGCAAGGAACUUUUCUCUAGUUGCAUGAAAGCAGAAGGAUUCCAGUAUCUCAAAAUUAUUCCUUUGCUGUGGUGGUGCAUUUUGUGCUUUUUGUCUCCAUCGACAUACAUUUCUUCCCAUUGAUGAUAAAGAGGGCAUGUGGGUAAUUGAAAACUGAUUUUCAUUAGCAAUUGUAGCUCCAGUAAGACUUCUUGCUGGUUCACAUACUGAAACUGAAGUAGUUUUUAACUCCGACAUAACUUCUUGUGCUCUAUCUUUAGCAGCUGAGGGUCCAUGAUUAUGUUCACUAUUCUUGCUUUGCAAAUUUGCUUUACACAUCUCCAGUAUGUUUUUGUUUCAUUGGCAUUUUUCUUAUGAUAGUGGUAGCUGUAAUUUUCUUCAACAAAUAUCUUUCCACCAGUGUUAGAUUUUCUAAGCAUAGCCAUGGGUUUUAAAUAAAACUUUGAAUUAUAAAAUCCAGAAUGUAUGAGACGUUUACAGUUUGCACUGCUUGAGUUAACUAAAAUUGUUAGCUUGUAUUCCUUUUGCUUUAAAAAAGAAGAAUAUACCUUUUGUGUACAAUUAUGAUUAAUGAGCUAUAACGAGCAACUGUUGGAAAGUAUACUCCUGAAAAAAUAAGUGUAUUAAAAAAAGUAAACGUGUAAAACAUUUUUUUUUAUGAUAAAAAAUUAUCAGAGAUGCAAAUGUCCAGGGGCACAUUUGUCUAGGGACACAAAUGUCUAGGAAUGCAAUUGUCUGGUACACAGUUGUCCGAGUUGCAAUUGUCCGUCCACCAAUACACCAUUACAGCUGAUCAAACUCUUAUAGAUAUCGGUAAAUAGUUUGGAGGCUCUGAUGCAUUUUUGAGAGUUGUGGUCAUCUCUAUCACAUGGUACAUGACACAAACAAGAGUCUAUUCCUCUGCUAGUCAUUGAAGAAAACCACACAACUGAGUCUGCUGCUAAUUGCUGUCACAAGCACUACCAAUAAUAUUAACCUGCCAACCAUUCCAGUUUGUUGAGACUUCUACAUUACAAGGACAUGGAAUCACUAGUAGAAAAGUUAAUCAUUCAGCUAAGUCUUGAAUAUUCCAGUUCAGAUCUAAAGAAAGUGAUUUAUAAGUAAAUAUUUUUAUACCAACUGCCACUGUCAUACUACUGCUGCUGCUGCUGCUGCCGCCUCCUCCUCCUCCAAAGGGUGCAAGAUAGGAAAUGAAUAUGUGGCUAUGUGUGCAAAGACAAUUGGCUGUUUUAAAGAUUAUUAUUAUUAUUGGUGCACCAGCAGAAUUGUUAGCAUGCUGGACAAAAUGCUUUGUGACAUUUUGUCCAUAUUUACACACUGUGUUCAAAUUCUGCCAACUUUACUUUUUGUCCUUUCUGGGUCAAUGAAGUAAGUUCCAGUCAAGCAUUGUGGUUGGUAUAAUUGACUAGCACUUUCAUCAAAAAUUUCAGCUCUUCUGUCUAUAGUAGGUUCAUGACCUACUCAACUGUUCUGACAUAAAGGGACUCAGAAAGAAUUUAGUACAAUGACUUUUGGAAGAUUUAUCUGAUGCAUUAUUUUCACACCAAAUGCUUGUUUAUGUGUGCAUCAAUUGUAUAAUAUCACAAAAUGUAAGCUAGAACCAGUUUUAAACUGUAGCUUGGAGUCAGUUCUAGAAUGGUCUUGGAGCCAGUUAUAAAAUGUAAAUUGGAGCCACUUCUAAAACAUAGGUUAGAGCCUGUUCUAAAAUGUAAGCUUAGAACCAGUUCUAAUAUAAAUGUCUGUGAAACUAAAUUUCAAUACACAGUUGGAAUGAAAAGAAUGACAUGAAAACUAUAUCUUCCCAUGUUCUGUUGCCUCUAGCCCUAAGGCUGAACGUCUUAAGAGUAAACUCUGCAUGUGUGUUCUCUGAAAGAGGAAUGUUUUUCAUUUUGAGUUAAAAUUACAAAUAAACUAGUGGAUACAGGAGAAUGAGGAGUGGUGCUACUCUCCUAUUCACUCAGCUCCUCUCCCCACUCCUAUUGUAAUGUAAUAGAUAUUAACAUUGACAAGUCUGUAAUAUUCUGCUGCCUCUGCAUCACAUUACUAACUUGGAUGUUCAUAGCUUGUCAAGCUCCAUACAGGUAGAAAUAAAAUUAAAAUGAAAUAUGCUUUUCAAGAGAACAUUGACUAAAAGGCUUUAAAAUGUCUUUGUGGAGGGGGAGUUGUAAAGCUGCGUGUAUAUGUGUGAAUGUACAUACAUAAUGCGCCAUACAUAUAUGUAUAUGUAAGUGGUAAAGCCACAAAGGUGUGUGUAUACAUACAUGAUGUAUAUGGAGAAAUUGUAAAGCUACGACUGUUCAGUUGUGUGAAUACACUUCCAUAUAUCACUGGAAAAUAGUUUGCAAUUGCAUUUAAGCCAUUUAUCCAUCAAACUUGUAACUGCCCCAUGGGUAGGAGGUGGGCAAAAAUCCUGUAAAAUACAAUAUGGUAAUUAUUUAAAUAACGUAUUCAAAUCUAAUAACAUAGUUGUCCUUGUUUAACCCAUUUCUCAAUGUAUUUUUAUUGGAAUCCACUGUCCUUGUUUCUGUUUAUUUUGAAAAUGAAGAAAAAUUUUGUAAAAUGACCUUGUCUUUAAGCUGGUGUUUGGAACAUAAUUCAACAUGAAAUUUUGGCAGCAGAUCUUAAUGUAGAUCAUUUUAAAACAGGGAGUUUGUAUUAUAGAAUCAAGGGUGGUCUUAGGUGGGUUGGUAUCCUAUCUAAUCCAUAUCAGUAUGGGCUAGAUAAGAUUCAACAAGCCAGAAGUGUGUGUUGAGUCCCAAUC